UUUUUAAAAAUUAUUCUGUGCAUGGGAUGAGUUACUCUAGAACAAGCACUGCAGUGAAGUGUUGUACGUUUUGCAUCACAGGUUGUACUCUCGGUCCUUUCAUGCCCCCCCCCCUUUUUUUUUUUUUUUUUUAUAAAGUGUGAUGUUUCUUGUAUAAAUGAUGAUGAUCUGCAUUGAGGUGGUACGUCUUUUAUUAAGAGUUGUACCUUCUGUUGCAAUACUACUUGACAGUAUGUUUGCACUCUUCUGCUUCUGCAAUGUGUUUCUGUUGAUGAAACAGGAAAAAAGAAAAAUAAUUGGACGUUAUGCAUUGCUUGUUAUACAAAAAAUGCUGUAGGUUUUGGGUGAAUUUCUGUGUAUAAAUAAUUGUUGGACGUGAUGCAUAGCUUGUUGUAUCUUGUCCUGUCGUUUUUUUUUUUUUACUAGUAGAUUUCAGCAUGUUAAUAAUAAUUUAAGCAAAAGGGCACCUGGUUGAAUCACAGUUUUUCGUAAGCUGAGUAUAUUUUUCUGUGCCUGUAUCCAUGUUGUACACUACGCUACCUUCUGUUGCAUUGCAUAGACACUGAUUUGUUGGUUGAUUUGUUGUGUAGACUAUAAUUGAAUCCUUGAAGGUUGCUUGCACUGGUGAAUUGCCUCCCAAUGCUCGCUCCGGUCAGAGCUUCAUUCAUGACCCAAAGGUUACCCUCCUUGACCAAUAGUGUUUUAGCAUUCACAUUUGCAGUAAUUUAAUUAUGUUUGUGAGUAAAGAGUUUUGCUGAUAUUUGGGGUGGUGAAUGGUGAAGGUAGCCGGGGAGACAGAGACAAAAGGGCAGAUAAAGUUGAGGUUUAAGACCGCUGCUCGAAAGGAUGUGGUUUGUAUAAGGUCAUUUCAGCUCACCCAAAAGGCCACCAAGAUGGAAUAUAAAGCUCUUGAGAGUGUGCUGCAAACAAUCAACCCUCAUACUGGGGAGGUAAAUUUGAGCAACAUAUAUCUUCAUUGACUUUGUAUGUUUCUCGGUAGGUAGGUUGGUUUGCCAUCAUGUGGAGUUCUGAAAAACAUAUUUGGUUUAUGGAUUAUAUCCAAUGAGUUUUGAUAUGUUAGUUAAUGUUGAUUAUCUUAUGCGCAUUCUGGUGUAUGUUUUGUAGAUAUAUCACAGAGAGGUACCAGGGCCUUUCUUGAUAGCACACAAGGCAAAAGGGGUUGGCUAUGUUUAGUUCUUUUGGUAGAUGAUUUGGUGUAAUUUAGUUUAUUUCCUUGUCAUAAUGGUUGUGUCAUGCCCUGUUCAAGAUUGUAAGUAAUAUGCUUUAAGUUAGUGGUAAUGGAGAUGUCGGAUGGAUUAUUGGACUAGUUGUUACAACUCAGAAGUUAAAGAUCCAACUCAUAAAAGUCCUUAUGUGAACUGGUCAAGCUUCAGAGUUUGCCACAAGUUUUGUAUAAUUCUUACAACAUCCAUUUGAGUAGGCAUAGUUAUCGUGGUACUCAAAAGAGAUAAAUUGUGGUAAACAACUACGAUGAUAUUCUUAAUGUAACCUCUUGUUUUUACAAGUUAAGCCAAUUUUAUGAAGAAUACCAAAAUCUCUAUUUCUAGUAAGAUUCUACCACACAUGUAAAAUAUUGACAUGAGCAGCCCAUCAAGCUAAAUGAGUUUUGCUGUUGAAUAACCUGCAAGGAAGCAUUGCAGGAGAAUAUCUUCACUUCAAUAUUGGUUCUGAAAUAUAUAUAUAAGUAUACAGGAUUUGGGAUGGUAUCAACUUGAGUUAGAUUGUCAUUUCUUCAUUUAAUGAAACAAGAACAUAAUGUUAAGUUAGUUAGUUAUACGAGUGUAGAUAAAAUUUGGCAUGUCGGCAAUUCGGCAAUUCAUUGUGGCCCUUGUUAUUAGUUUAGGUUUUAGUUGCUCAACUUCUUGAUUCAUUAUUUAAUGUUGGUAUAUAAAUGUAAGAAGCCUUAGGAUGCUGUGGCGUACAUGUGAAACUAAGCAUUGCAAGCAUUUACAAUGUUAUGACGUAUUUAAUGUCCUUGCUGAAGAAUUGGAUCAUUUGUAUUCUAGGGGAAUAAUCUGGCCCAUCUAAAACAUUUUUAUUUGCUGCAUCCUUUUCUUUUAUUUUCUUGUCUGUUAGUUUUAGAUUAUUUUUUGAGCAUUUUGAUAGAAUUUGCCACCAUUGGAUUUACAGACAUUUGCCAUUUCAAGUUCAGCAUCUUGCUAUGCAGCUUGAACAAACUGCUUGACCUCUGUAAUUUCUGGACUAUUCGAGCAGUUUUUCUGUAAGAGAAAACAGAGUUGAGUAAUUUUUUGCUAUCCAUGACUAAAAUCUAUGUUCUUCAGAGACGCCUUUCAGAUUCCUGUCUGAAUUUCUUUGGAUAAUUUCUCCAAAUCUCUGUUACCAUAUGUUGCAUGCAAAGUGCACGGGGAAAAGUAUAUGCGAUAAGAUAUCUUGGCAACAAGUGAUUGCUAUACAAUGUGAUUCAUGCAUGGAGAUGUUAUAUCAAGAUGCAUCCUUGUCAUUGAAGUUUUAUAUGAUUUUCUUGAUAUACUUUUCUAGUAUGUCAGGCAGAGGUCCAUGGUUCAGCGAUGUAGUUUAAGAUUCACCAUUUUCCUUUUGUAUCCUUGAAAAAAUUACUUAUAGAAGAAUUUUCUGGCAUCUCCUAUUGUCAAAGAACUUGCCUUGUUUCAUUACCCCUCCAUCAGAAGAGUGCUCAGUGCAGACUAUGAUGUGAGUUGCAAUCUCAUUGCCUUGUUGGAAUUUGAGCUCUUUUGAGUUUGUAAAAGAUGUCAUGAUGACCUGAGGGGAGAAUAUUUCAUUGUUUGCUUCUUUUGUCAAGGAUUUGUCAUUUGGCUCUUCUUUGCUUACAUUAUUCAAGGUUAUUGUGAUUUUUUGUUCAUGGCCAUGUAUUACUAUGGUUCAUCUUUUGAUUUCACUACUAUCCUAGUGCUGGUUAUUUUGCAACUGAAAGUUAUUUUUGUUAUCCAUCUGCAGAAAGUUUGCCUAAGCUAUCGAUGUGCUGACAUGGACCGGGAAAUUCCUGCUCUAAUGGGUGUCUCAAAGGCUAUUCUUGAAAAUGUUAUAUUCGUGCACCAAGAUGAGGCUAACUGGCCGCUGCAAGAUCCUUCUACGCUAAAAAAGAAAUUUGAUGACAUCUUCUCUGCAACAAGGUAAUCCAUAGUACUAGGAAGCCUUGUCGGUUUUUCUGCCACCCAAAAAUCGUGCUUGUUUUAUUUUCUGCUUUAAUCACUUCAAGUAUUACAAUUUUGUCGUUUCAUGUGACUUGACAUGUAUUUUUAACUUAAAAAUCCUCCAUAUGAACUGCAAAAGAUCCUGAAAAAGUUGCUAAGAGGAAGAAUGCAUUUGUCAGUACUUAGUUUCCAGAUGAUUGUGGGGAUUUUUAUCAUGAUGAAACUUGGUUUUUUCUCAUGAUUUGGUAAAUAGGCAGCUGAUUGUAUGAAGCUUUACUAGCCAUUGACCGUCACAUGCAACGAUAUUUUAGUUAUUUUAGGCUAUUCAAAGAAAUAAACAAAGAUAGCAUUAUGUUCUGCAUGCAUAGAUUCAAUCCAUGCUGCAAAUUAUACAUUUCAUACAUACUUAUUUUACUUUUGUAAUUUUUUCCACUUUAAUACAACUUUUGACUGUAUACUGGAUGAUUUUGUGAAAGGCAGAGUGCUUUUUGUCAUAGUCUAUUCAUUAGAGAGCCUUUUCUUUUAACGUGUAAUGUUGGAAUAGAAGUUGGAAGUAGCCUGGAAGUGGAGUAUGCGAAGUUGACUGUAAGUUUUAAAACAUCUGUACGACUAGGAAUUGUUUGCCUACUCCAGGUACAUGCGAAUGGAUUCUAUAUCUCAUUCAACACCACACCUUUGCCCAUUCAAGUAUGUGAAUGUUCAAUGACAUAUUUAGACAUUGACAUGGGCCCUGCUGCUGUGUAUGGUAUAUUGCUUUGUUCCUCUACUUCUGUCUAGCAAGUUCAUUAAUGUAUUGCAACGACCUUGGUCUGACUAACCUAAUAGGUACUGAAGGUUCAGAUAAACAUCAUUCAUCAUCUGUAAUUGUGGUUGAUAUGCCUCACUGUACAAUUUUGAAGUUUUAAACUCAUCACAGAUAGGUUGGGUAAACAUUUUUAAGUAUUCAAUGCUUUAGAGUUCUGAUAAUCUUUUGCUCUGUUCAUUCUGUGCUGGUUCAGAAUUUUGGAUGCAAAAUCUAACACAUGCUUUUGCUCUCAGAUACACAAAGGCCUUGGAGGUUAUUAAGAAGCUUCAUAAGGAUCAAGCACAAGAGAUAAAGCAGUAUAGGCUGAAGUUGGAGAAUCUUCAAACAUUGAAGGAUGCUGCUUACAAGGUAUUUUACUUGUCCUUUACACUUCAGAUCAUGUGAUAUACUCACUUUAAAUAGCUGUCUUUUCUAUACCAUAAACUUUUGUUUCCAAUUUAUAGAGAGGUGGUUUACGAACUUAGUUGCCUUAAGUUGCUUAAUCGCAGAUGUAUAGUUUCUCCGAAAUGGCAAUGGAACAGCUCUCACCGUUUUUCUCAAAAAAGCAUCGAAAAUUAUGUCCUCUAAACUCAGGCUAAUUCUUAAGAUCAAAGCUUCAUAUGCUAAAAUACUGAUGAAAGUUAUGACUUCAUAUAUGUUCGAGUAAAUGGAUGGCUAAUUUGAUUCCCAAUGUUUUCUAAUCGUCAGAGUGUUUCUGAUUCUGCUUUAGAAACUCUCAAUCACUUCACAGGUUUUGCAUGGAAAUAGAUGUGCAUAUAAUAGUCCUGUAUUCAAUUCCUUUCCUGCUCUGCUGAGGAGCUCUUAAAACUUUCAAGGAUUUUAUUAAUUACGUUAUGUCAUUGUCAGGAUUUUGAUUUAUAGGCUGGUGGCUACCUCAUGUUUUUUCUCAGGAGACAUGUUUUACUUUAUCACAUUAAGGAUGGAUGACAAGAUAGAUUCUAUGCUUGCUGAUUCUUAUAAGAUCAUAUACCAAUUUAAAAUCUUGUACCUCUUCUGUAUUGUUCAUUCAGCUACGGGAAAGCAUUGCUUCUGAUCAAGAUAAGACCGAGUCAUUAAAAAGUCAAAUGCAGGAGUUGGAAAAUGAUAUUCAGCAUCUGGAUAAUAAUAUCCAUAAUACUGAAGUGACAUUGAAGGACCUCAGGAAGUUACAGGAACGAAUAGCCACAAAAACUGCUGAAAGAAGCAUUUUAUUCAAGGAACAGGAGAGACAGUAUGCAGCACUUACCGAAGAGAAUGAGGGUUUGUGCAUUGAUACCAUAAUCUCAUGCUUCUUGUAAUUAAUGUUUUUCCUUCUUACAUUUUCUCUACAUUGCAACAAUUUCUUUUCAAUUUCUCUGUUCAUUUUUUUCAAGGGAUUAUGCCUUCCUGUGAAUAUUAGCCCGCUUGCUUUUCUGUGUUAGACACUGACGAAGAACUGAUGGAAUGGAAAAGCAAGUUUGAGGAAAGGAUUGCAAUCUUGGAGACCAAAAUUAGCAAGUUAAAUAGGGAAAUGAAUGACACAGAGACCAAGAUUUCUUACCUUAAGGAGACAAUGGAUGACUAUGUACGAGAGACUAGCAAGCUGCAAACUGAGGCUGAAGUAAGUUGAUCAGUAAAAUUUUAACAAGGCUUUAUUAAACUGUUGCUUUGUGGUAGUAACUAAUCAUUCCUCUUCCUUUUUUUUUUUUGAAUUAGGUGCAUCAAAACUUGAAGAAUGAUAGAGAACUGAAAAUCAAGAGGCUUUUUGAAAGGCAUAAUCUUGGAGUUGUCCCUAACAGCCCAUUUUCUGAUGAAGUAGCUUUGAACCUCAUAAACCGAGUGCAGUCGAGGUUAAAGGACCUGGACAACGAUUUAGAUGAUAAAAAGGUAAACCUUUAUUGUUUAACUAAUGAAGAUAUCAAUCUGGUAUAAUUCCUUUGUGGAAAAUCUGUUGCUAAUUUUACCAGUCUAACCAGGAUAUUUGCAUCCUUGAAACUACUAGUGUAUGUUUUAGUUUUAGUUUCCUUCUUUUUUUCCCCCUCAAUUCUAGUGUCUGGAAUGAUUUGCAUGCGCAUGAUUCUAGUUCCUCAUUGAGUUGGGUUUCUUGAUUGUUGAAAGUUUGUUGUAUCUUCACUCUAGAAAUUGAACUCUUUCAGUGUCAAAGUACAUUUUCUUUUGUUCACAAUGAUUGUGUCCCCGCGGGGACGCCCGGGGGGGGGGGAGGGAGGGAGGGGGAGCUUCACUACUGUCCUGAUGUAUAAUUUGUCCUAUCUCAUUACAAAGUUCCUGCAUAUCACAAAAGAUGAACAACUGUGGCCCCAAUUUUGCCAACCAAUCUGUCAAUGCAUUUGCUUCGUUAUGAGUGUGUUCCAACAUACAACUCCAGUUUCUGUUAGUGUAAUAGUAGUUGCAUGAUAGUGGGUUUUCUCUGAAAAAAAAAUACAGACAUAAGCAAAGCAAAAAGAUCGUCUACACUAUUGGAAGUUUUGGCAAGAUUAUCAGCAUGCUUGUCCUGUGCUUUAGUGUUUUUUUCCACACAUAUAAGGCACUUUGUUUUUAACAAUCCUUUACCUGCCAUUAGCAAGAAGAAUCUUCUUUGUGUCAUAUUCUUGAAGAACUUUUGGCACUUUUUAAGCCCUUGAGGUGCUUCUUAAUUGCUAAUUGCAUAAAUGAACUGGAAAAGAAGGAGAAUUGUUCUUAAUGUUGAUGUGACUUGGCCUGCUAAUUAUUGUGCUUUUGAAGCAAAUGUUGGUUGUGCCUGUAUAUGUUUUUUUUUCCUUGAAUGACAUUCAAUAGCAGUGAAUAGAUGAUGAAGUUGUAGAAGUACCUUUUCUUUUGGGUCUAAACUCCUGUUUUAAUUUGGUUUUUCCUAAUUUUAUCGAAAUGUGGCAUAUUUGUUGCUCAGGACAACAUGAUAUUUCUACUACUGAUCGAGGAGCCUUCAAUUUUUCAUCGUGGUUUUGUUUUUAUGUGGAAUCAAUCUUGGUUAUGUAUUUUGUUGCCUUAGAAAGAAAUAAUUUUGAUGUCUAGUAGUCAUUUCUCAAUCACAAGAGUGGUGGCUCCUGGAAUAGAACUCCUUGGCUUUUGUUUGAGAAGUUUUUAUGCAAAUGAAAACAAAGAUCCAUUCUGAUGUACUUUAUUGAAAAUGCUGCAGUGAAGUUUUUAAAUUGCCUGAUUGACUUUAAAAGAGAUUUGAUCCUUUGUCUGAGGGGUUUCCUUUAUGUAAUAAGUACAUGUGCAGCUGCACAGAAAUCGUAUGCGAAGCAGUACUAUCCUUGUUUAUCAGUAUUUUCUCUUUGGGGCUUAUGUUUCUCAAGUCCCUUGGAAGUUUUCUAGAAACUUGAACGAUUUGUUUCCUCUUCAUCUUCCCAACAUCUGCUGAGCAAUCUCUUACUUGUUUCAAAUUUUUUCAUCCAAGAAAUAUUUUUGUUGAUGAAAAAUCACUGUGUGUAUUUCAGAAAUCAAACGAGAGAGAACUUGAAGCGGCGUUCGGUCAAUACAUGCAUGCAAAUGACCGUUGGAAAGAUGUUGAUGCUCAAAAACAGGCUAAAUUGGAGAUUAAGGUUUCUUGUUGAGUUUCUAUCAUCUUAGUGUGCAAGUUUGUUUCUUGACUAGUCUCAUAUCCUCUACUUGCUGAUGCGAAUUUAUGGUCUUGAAUCCAAGCAGCGUGGCAUUUUGAAGCGCAUUGAAGAGAAGGAGAAUGAGCGGGAUUCAUUUGAGCGGCAGAUUUCUAAUGUUAAUCUAUCUCACCUAGAUGAAAGAGAGAAGAACAUGGUAUUGCUGGCUGAUCAAACUGGUAUUUGGGGAUUUUUUAUGUAGUUUUCUCUUAGAAUACAGCUAUGUCACAGUUUGCAAAUUGUUUUUUAUACUCAAUGCAGCGUAUUGAGAUGGAGAGGAAGACAAAACACCUUUCUGAAAGAGAAUUUGAAUCAAGUAUACAGAAAAAGCAGAGCGAGAUACAUAGUUUGGAGCCAAAAAUCAAAGCUCUUAAUAGGGAAAAGGACAUCAUGGUUGCUGAUUCUGAAGACCGAGUUAAACUUUCUAUUAGGAAGGCAGAGUUGGAAAACCUCAAAAAGAAGCUUAAAAAGAUGUAAUUUGUAGCUUUGAUUUCAUUUGAGUUGAUGGUUUCUAGUUUACUGGGUCUUAAUCAUUUAAUUGUUGUUUCUUCUAGAAAAUGAAUAUCUUUAUAACUUCAAUUUUCAGAAUGGACGAGCACAAGGACAAAAUUAGAGGAGUGCUGAAAGGAAGGCUUCCUGCAGAUAAGGAUUUGAAGCAGGAAAUAGCUAAGGUGCAAAGGUUGGGGUUGAAAAUUUUUAUACUUACUCUUUUCCAGUAUAGCACUUUUUGGACAGUUUUACCUUCUUUGUGGAUCCUGCUAAAAAUCUUGACUUAUCAAAGAUGAUAAAGGAUGCUCAUGGGAAGUCAGUUUUUACGGGUGUAAUAUAUAGACAAUUACCUAAUAUUCUGUGUAAUUCUAUGUGCUAUCAUGAUUAUAUUGUGUUUUGUUUAUAAGCAUGCUUAGACAUCUAUCUGCGUGCGUAUUCUGGAAAUAUAACAUUUUGAGGACUCUUACAACUUUGUAUAGUUCAAGGUAAAAAGAAGUUGAGUGAUAAUUAAGAAUUUGCUCUGCAUCAUUAGAUAAGCCCCUUCUGCUUGUUAAUUCUGCUCAUCUCUAGUCUUUUAAUGACAUAAUCUGACACCCUGAUUUUACAUAGCCUUACAAUAUUUUAUUGUGCUGGUUAUAUGGGAUUCAUGCAUGAAGUUAUAUAUACAAGUUCAUUUUGGUGGCAUGAACCGGGGCAUAAUCAAUUCAUUCACUAUUAGUUGGGAUAAUUGCAAUAAUAGUUUACCAAGAUAUUUGAGAGAGGGGAUGGUAUAUAAUGUCCCGUUGAUUUGAGGUUUAGGGGGAUAGUAUAUAAUGCGAUACCAAAAACUAUUUAAUGGUAAUUGAUUGUUUAUUGCAAGUACAAAGACUGAUCUUUCCUAGUUUCUUGUCACAUGGAGUAGCUUUGAGAAACUCGUGCAGCUUAUGUCAUUUCAAUCAUAGACUAGUGAAAUAGAUUAUGCUUGGAUCUAAAAGAGGAUAUUCAUAUAGAGGAAAUACGAACAUCAUUUGAUAAUUUCUUCUCCAGGACAUGAAGAUUUGGUUGCAAAUUAAGAAAACUGUUAUAUUGGAUUAAUCAUAAAAGAAAAAUACCACAAUUUGUAUAAUUGAGUUUCAUAAACCAUCUGAAAGAGAAAUAAGUUGUAAAGUACAAUGCAGUAUUACAACAAUUGUGUGAUCCUGCUACACUUCAUGGGCACUUGACUACGAGAACCAAAUUUCAAGUGGAAAACCGCAGCAACAUAACUGCUAGGAUGGGCUAUGUUGUUAUCGUAUUUUUCCCUUGGCUGAAUUGCAGGUUCAUCUGCCUAAGUAUAUACAGUCGGUUCAUUUUUCCUAGAUGAGUGAAUUUUAUGAUAGUAGCUGCUGCAUGCAACCAGCAUACACAUUGACAGAUGCAGUCUGAAGUGAUAUGGUCUUUCUGGUGAUUCUUUUGUCUUCAGAUUUUGGUUAUGGUGUCUUCAAGUGACUUCUUCAGCAGCAUUUCUGUCUGUUUGUAGCUUCCAAUAUCAUAAGAAUUUGACAUCCACCUGUUUUUCUGACCAUGACUCUGAAGGGCAUCUAAUUUCCUUGAUGUGUAUCUUGCAAGUUCCUGCAUAAAAGUCUGUUUUAACCAACCAUACUAUCCCAGUGUUAGAUUCUUCAUCUAUUCUGAACCAUCUCCUGUUUGAAAAGUUUUAAAGUACGAUUUCCCUAGAAGUUCAAUUUUUCCGCUAUCCCAGUGUUAGAUUCUUCAGCUAUUCUGAACCUUCUCCUGUUUGAAAAGUUUGAAAGUACCAUUUCCCUAGAAGUUCUAUUUUUCCGCUAUCCUUUAUUUUUGAGAUUUAACUUUGAUCGACAGACAAGGUACAGGAGAUCUGUUCUGUGAUUAAUUUGAAUUGGCCAUUGGUGCUUUUGUUUCUUUAAUAUAAGAACUCUUGUCAUGAAUAUUUUCUUUAAGCUAAAAGUUGUUAUAUUAAAUUGUUGGCCUUGUGCAGUAAGGAGUUGUUUAUUGAAUAGCUUUCCUUGUUUCAUUUAUUUCUGGAAGAUUCUUGUUAAGAUCUAAUUGUGUUUGGAUAAGCAUACCGUUUCUCUUUUUGUAGAUUUUUUGUUACUUUCUUCUUCAAAUCUUGAAUUUGACGUUUCACUGUUUUGAUAUGCUUUCUGAUGGUGCAGAGCUUCCCAAGCAGAAUUUGAUGACUUGAACUCAAAAGCCCGUGAAGCUGAGAAGGAAGUGAAUAUGUUGCAGUUGAAAAUACAAGAAGUUAACAGUAACCUAUCCAAAUUACAUAAGGAUAUGGAUUGUGAGUGCAAUUUUUCCUUGGAAAUAAUUUCAAUUUUCUUCAAGCAUCUUGUGAUGGUCAGUCUCCAGGGUUUGGCAUAAAUUUCCAGAGGUUUUACCAAAGAAAAAUGACUAGAAGACAAGGGGUGGAUGUGGGGUCUACUGGUCUGACUUGAUAUGUUUGAAGUUUCAGUGCAUUUUGACACUGGCUGUCAAGAGGAUUGAGUAAUUCUUCUGUUUGAAUUGAAAAAACAAGCACCAAGGAAUAGACUGCUUGAAUGUAUUAGAGAAAUUGGCAUGGUAGCAGUUCAAAUAUUUAAUACUUUUAGAAUGGAUAAGUCUACAAAAGCACCAAGAAUCCCUGAUGGGUUUGCAUUCUUAGUCAUAUUUCUUAGCAAAAUACUACUAAAUGCAGCUGAAUUACAAUAAGCUGCACCUUUAAGUGGAGUUUCCGUUGGCUGUACGAUAUAUCUCUAGCCAAAUAUAAUGGGAACUGUGUAAUUAUUGGGUCUGUUUACAUUCCAGUUUCACAUCAGAACAAUUUCCGGGAACAUGAAGAAGAAAUACUUUUGCUGAACUUUUUGCAUUGAGUUUUAUUAAACCUAUUGAGCAUCGGUUAUUUUGAUAUCUCAAAUUUUGGCAGUGGAUUUAGGAAAUUAAUGGCCAAAAAAUGAAUAGUGUGAUGGAAUCAAAAGUUCUGAAGUUCAGGGUAUGCUUAAUGUGCAACAAAGUGGCUGAUCACAUAUUUGAUGGAGAUAAAACAAGCUGUAUGUGGCUUCACACAUCACAAAGGUCAUCCUGGAACUUCCACUUCUUAUUUCCAAAUAUUUCCCAGCAAAUAACAGGCUGGAUGAUCCUUUUAAAGAAUGUUAACAAUGUGUUUUUGUAGAAUAGGAUGCCAAGGAGAGGUCAAAUUCAGUGAAGAUGAAACUUGGUGUCUGAGUUGGUAGAGCUUUAUUUUAGGAAUAAGCUUUACUACUAGGUUUCUUGACAAAACAGCUGCUUGGGAAUUGAGUAUUUUCUUUAAUGUAAGAAUUUUCUGAAAUUGGCAAUGAAAAGUGCCAUUGUUGGUUUCCAUAAGUUUUGAUGCUAACUUUCUAAAUAAGCAAACUCUCGGAAAUAACCUGCUUGCAGUCUUUCCUUGCGCUCUUAUGACUGCAGAAAGACACUGCUGAGUUGUGAAGGAAUUGUGUUUGGAAGAGAACCUUUUUAAGUUUCCUAAUAUCGUGUGUUCUGUUGAUUUCUUAGAAGUUCUUAUCUUUUUUACUUAAUAAUAUCUUAUUCUCAUGCAGCAAGGAGGAGAUUCAUUGAGUCAAAGCUCCCCUCAUUGGCCCAGCAGUCUGUUAGUAUUGACUCUUAUCCUAAAGCUCUGGAUUCUUCUAAGGAGAAAAGAGAUGUCCAAAAAAGGUGUUAUUUGACAUCCAUUUUAUAGAUCACAAAAUACUUCCGCUUGCAUCUGUUGAUUGAAAAUCUUAACGCAAUAUAGAGGCAGUUUAUUUUCAAUUUAGUUCUCAAAAGACUGCUGCUUGUAUCUUUUGUUAGGCCACAAUUUGUUGAAAUGUUAUGAAAAUAAAAUUACCAUUCACCGGUGCAGCAAAUAUAAUAUAGCAGAUGGUAUGAGGCAAAUGUUUGAUCCAUUUGAAAGAGUUGCUCGUGCUCAUCAUAUUUGCCCUUGCUGUGAGCGUCCAUUCUCAGCUGAAGAAGAAGAUGAAUUUGUUAAAAAGGUUCAAUCCUUGAUUUUCUAUGUGCUUUCAUCCAAUUGAAUGUCGGAUUCAGCUAUUUUCACUGAAUUGGUUUUUAAUCUUUUUUACUAUAGCAAAGAGUGAAAGCUGCAAGCUCCGCAGAGCACAUGAAAUUGUUGGCUGUGGAAUCUUCAGAUGCUGAUUCUCAAUUUCAGCAGUUGGACAAACUUCGCAUGGUCUAUGAAGAGUAUACCAAAAUUGGCCAGGAAUCAAUUCCUCUUGCUGAGAAGAGUCUCAGUGAGCAGAAUGAAGAUUUGGACAGAAAGAAUCAAGCUCUUGAUGAUGUAACUAGUAAAUCUCAUAUAUUUUCUUUAUUCAUACUAUAUGCUGUUCUAUAAAUUGUUAUGUGAAGCUUGUUUUAGCAGUUCUUUGGUGGGAAUAUCUGAUUCUUCGCAUCAACAUUUUUUUUUUCUCUGAUUUUGUAUGAGGUAAAGAUCAUUGAACAGUUAAGCUUAUAGAAAUUGGGGACUACCCUGGGGUAUUAGUCUUGGUGACUUGACCUGACUUCUAAGUCAUACACUCCAAAAGUAGAAUUGUCUAUAGGAGUUCAAUUGAUUUAAGAGUAAAAACUGAUCGAAAGACUGACUAUAUCUGCGUGAAAGUCCAUCAUCUAUAGAUAUAUGGCCUGCAACUUAAUGUCUGAGGACAGUCAGGACAUGCAAGGUAGAGGGCAAUGUGCUGAAAGCAGUUACGAGGAAAAGAGGUCAUACCCUCUAUGAAAGCCAAGUAAAAGGUGUUCUAGUGAAACCCUUUAGUUCCCAGUUAUUCAACCUCCCCUCUGUGGCCAGCAAUCCAUUAUUUCUCCUUAUGUCGUAUUUCUUUAUAGCUUGGCAAUAUAAACCAUUUGGUGGACUAAAUUGAUUAGAUUUCUUGUCUUUGAUACUUAUUGGUGAACUUUUAUGUUCUGGUAACUUGGCCUUGAACCAUACAUGGCAUAGUUAUUUUCCAUUAACUAUGUCAGAAUGAAAUCCUUUAUUUCGUUUCCUUUUUUCUGCAUCUCUUAUUUGCUUGAUUUGCUUGCUUUUCAUGUAAAGGACAUGAUAAAUCCGGUUACUACUUUUGUAUUUGAGAUUUAUAAGACCUUUCUAUAUCUAGUAACACUGAUACGUUUGGGAAAUUCAAUUCCCACAGAUCUUAGGUGUUUUAGCACAAGUAAAAUCGGAGAAGGCCUCAGUUGAUGCCUUGAUGCAGCCUGUAGAAACAGCUGACAGGCUCUUCCAAGAAAUACAGACCUUGCAGGAGCAGGUUGAUGAUUUGGAAGACAAGCUUGAUUUUCGAGGGCAAGGUGGCAAAACUAUGGAGGACAUCCAAAGGGAGUUGGACUCUUUGCAACUGACCAAGUAUACUGUCUUUUUCUGUUUAGUUUUCAGAACCAGUGUUGGUUACUAUCUUUUCUUUAUGACGUGACAAUUAGUAAGCAUAAUCUUUAUAAUAAACUCAAGAUUAUGUUGCUUUUCGUAAACCAAAAAUUAUGUUGCUCUUUGUAAGCAUAAAUUUGGUUACAAGGAAUGGUAUCUUUCCGCAGUCUCUGCACUCAAGUUGCUUCCUGUAUGUAGUGUUCUGUAUGAGCUCAUAUUGCUCUCAUACAAUCCUGUUUUCACAGUUUAGGUUGCUCUCAUGCAUUUAGCUACUUCUGACUAUGUUCCCACUCAUAUUCUGCACUAUUUAUUUCAUAGCUUUCAUUUGGAAAUUUUUAAGACUUCUACUAUUGUCUUCUCUGCUGUUUACCAGGGAUAGUUUGCAUAAUGAUGUGGAAAAACUAAGAGAAGAACAGAGGUACACGGAAAUGGAUAUAUCAAGUAUCCAGAUGAGGUGGCAUUCUCUAAGGGAAGAGAAGCUCAGAGCAACUAAUACAUUGAAUGAGCUUAGGAAGGUUGAGGAGGAGUUAGAUCGUUUGUCAGAGCAAAAAAAUCAGGCUGAGCUUGAUGAGAAGGUAACUGGCUGAUUGGAAUCUCGUAAAUUGAAUGAAAUUGGAAGCUAAGAUGCUUUCUUUGGAUGCCUUGCUGCAAGUUUUGUUAUUGGAGAAAAUUUCCACUAGAUAAAAAAUUUAUAUGAGCAAUGAAAAGAGUUCUAAAGUUGUAGUCUGUUGGAAAAGAAAAUGCAACAAGUAUCAGGAUGAAAAUUAUAGGACUUUUUGGAAUAAAUAUGGAACUUAUGCAUGAUGCAAAACUUAGAAAGAGAAAGGUGUAAAGAGUGUAGUUUAAUUUUUUGGUUUAAGGUAUGAGUUUGGUUGCACGUUACUGACUAGAGUCAGGUUUGACAUGCAGAUAUCUGGAUUUUUAUAGAAAUCCAUUUGUUCUAUGCAUGCUAUAUUCUUUGCUCCCCUGGUCGCUGUAUCUAGGAAUCUAAACCUUUUUCUUGUCAUGUAUACCUACUUGGAAUUGGAUACAUACUGGGGGUUUGUUAAGGGUGUUAGUUUUGACACUUAAAUUAAAUGGUUGCGUUGUAAUUGGCACUCAAUAGAGCCUUAAAGUAGAUGGUUCUUGGAAGCUCCAAAUUAGUAUAGGAAUUCAUCCAAAGUACCGUGCAACUUGCAACCGGUCACUGGUUGCAUAAUCUCAAACUUUUCUUUAGGACCCUGCAGGAAUCCAAACAUCAAAUCAGCAGGUUCUCCACUUACAUGUGAUUGAACAAUAAACGUCAUGCUGCAUGCAUUAUGAACUUAAAGGCUUUCAAAGAACUCCAUUGCACUAAGUAUCUUAAUAGAGAGUCUUACCUGGAUUGCUGACUUGUAGCAUUUGUCAUUCAAAACGGUUGAGAUUGCAGAAGUAUGGAUAUCGGCUCAAAAGAAUUCCAAAGAACCACAAAACAAGGAGUAGAACAAUUACAUUAAGAACUGAUUAAUUAGAUUAAGAACUGAUUUAUAUCUAAUCUCCCACUGUAGCUUCUGAACUCUUUAAAUUGUUUCUUGUACUUUAUGUGUUCUGUUUCUUAAUUUGGUGCAUUUUUAGGUGCUGCCUAUAGAUCUUCGAGAAACCUUAACUUUUCUGUUGUUCUUGGAAAUGUAGGUGACAUUUCUAGAAUUUAUUCCUUCUGCUGUGAUUCUUCUCUUUCGCCCCAGCUGUCACAGAUUUCCCUAUAAACCAUUUAGCAAGCUACGUGUGGCCACAUUAUAUUAAAGCCUGCAAUUGAUCCCUUUUAUACUUAUCUGCAAUUUACCACAAUAAAUGAAUGGGAUGAUGUGAUAACAUCCUUGUUAACCAAAAUGUAAGAGCAAUAAACAUGACAUUGAGCUUUUAGUGUGAAUGGCCUCUGAGGAAGACAUUGGCUCAUAUCUUCUUUUAUUUUUCUGAUUCUGGGAUGAAAAAAGUGAAGAAAGGUGAGGCUUUACUGGCAUUAAGUCUUUAGAUCAGAUAUUCUCGCGCACAUGGGGCAACACUAGGAAUGGUUGGUUAGUAGGCAACUGUAUUGAGGUUAAUCUUAUUGUACUUUUCAUAUUUAUCUUCAAAAGUUGAGUUUCUUGACCCAAUUGGGGUUUUUAAUUUAUCCUGUCUUUAUACCCUAGAACUACUUAAUGUGCUUUGCAUAUUUUCUCACUUAGUUGUAUCUUUUCAGUUAUUAGUAAACCAUAUUUUGUGUAGUGAUACUUUCAAAAAAUGUUUAGCAUUUGGCAGAAGCUGCCAGUCAAUUAGAGAAGGAGAAAGAAGCAUUUUUGAGGCAUCACAAUGUUUUGAAAGCCAAACUUAAUUGCGAAUACGAGGAACAGGCAAAACUCAAAGCAAACUAUCAACAGGAGGCUGUUAAACUUCUUGAAAUUACAGAUGAGAUAAAGAAGUAUGUCUCAUGAACCUGAAGUGUGAUACCCAUGUCUCUUUCAUGUAUAAUCUUCAUAAUUAUUUUGUUCCAUCAGGUAUCAUGAUUUGAAAAAAGGAGAGAGAUUGAAGGAGGUACAGGAAAAGCAUAGUCAAUCAGAAUCUCAAUUUCGUAGUUUUGAAGCAAGAAAAGAGGAGAUUUCUGUUGAACUGAACAAAAUUAAAGAUUUGAUGCGCAACCAAGAUAAUGUAAGACGUGGCAUUGAGGAUAACUUGAACUAUAGAAAAAUAAAAGCUGAAGUGGAUGGGCUUACCCGUGAAAUUGAAUUAUUGGAAGAAGAGAUACUGAAAGUUGGUGGGGUUUCUGCAGUUGAGGCUGAGCUUGCAAAGCUCUCUAAAGAAAGGGAGGGACUUCUGUCAGAGGUACAAUUAACUGUUGCAUAUCCAACACCUCAUUCAGUAUGUAAGCAAAGUUUCAUAUACUUCUAUGCUGUCUCCACGUCUUAUAUGAUGGUUAGAUUCCACUUUUGGAUUGUGUCCCCUGAUAAGUCAAAUGCUAGUUUUUUAUGCUAUAAAUGCUUCAGUUACUCAUAACAUAUCCCAUACUUUUUGAGAUGUAAAUCCUUGAAUCGAAAACUGUUCAUUAUUCAAAUUCCAACCUAAGGAGAGAUACCCACCCAAAUGAGUGAAGGGCACGUUUGGUAGUUUAUUUUGGAUUGCAACCUUUUGUCCCUUUGAAACUAUUUUGAGGUCAUUACAAAAUCAGAGCCAAAGCUUUUGGUAGAGAUGGCUAUUUAGCUUGUGUUACUCGUAUUGCUUACCCAUAACUACUUGUUUACAAAAGCCAUGUAUCAUUUGCAAUUUCUGGUUUCUGUAAUUAAAGAUUAAGAUAUUGCAAGUCAUUCCUAAAAAUAGUUUUUUCAUUCUAGACUAGUCUGCGUCAAACUGUUUCAGGUUAUUUCAUGCUUUCUUGUCUUAGAACUAUGUGCCUCAGAACACACUAGUACUUUGUAAUUGAUUGAUAUAGAUAACUAGGCAUAAAGCAAAUUUUCAACGAAGAUUGGUAUAUUUCAAUUGUGAUGAUGAUAUCUACUUUAAAGUUAUAGGUAAUAUGAUGUUUAUGUGCUCUUGUUUAUCUGAAGCUUGUGUAGUGGUGGUAGCGCAUUAGGAAUUAAGGUAUUUAUUGGAAGUUUGUCCCUUUAAGGAACUUGUUUCUUUUUCUUCAGGGACAAUCAUUUCUUUUGGUUGAAAAAAACUGUUCAGUCAUUAUUUUUAACCUUGGUGGCAUUUAUAUGUAAUUGUCUCAUUGUAAGUGGUAAUAUUUUAGUUCAAGGGGUGAACAUCAGAAUUUGUUCCUUGAGAAUAAUCUGGGACUUGCCUCUGGUUGCAGUUAAACAGAUGCCGUGGCACCAUGGCUGUCUAUAGAAGCAAUAUUUCGACAAAUCAGAUUGAUCUUAAACAGGCACAGUACAAGGACAUUGAUAAACGCUAUUUUGAUCAGCUAAUUCAGCUCAAGGUAAUGUAUGAUUUUGAUGCCUCAUUAUGUGCGCACUCACCGAUGAAGUGUGUGAUGAUCGUUCAAUUUUUGACAGACAACUGAGAUGGCAAAUAAGGAUCUUGACAGAUAUUACAACGCACUUGAUAAGUAAGUUCUUCUAAAGUUUUCUGUCUUCCUCUGGGUGAUUGCAUCAAUCCAUCUUUACUUGGGAAUUUUAUUGUUGUUGUUUUGCGUCCCUUUUAUUCCCACCUCUCUUGGCUACAUAUUCUGGCAUGCAUAUACAUGUCCUUGCACAUCGUUUCCUUGAUUUUAUUAGGAUAUAAGAAUAUGAUAACCUUUGUCUUGCUUAUUCUUGUAUUACGAUAGUUGCAAUAAAUGUAGAUGAAAACCUUGUCCCCAUAACAGGGAAGAGUAGCCAUGAAAGUGGAAACCAAAUCAUAUGUUAACCUUUUCAUUGUACAAAUGUAAUAUAAAAUCUAUAGCACUGUGAGCUGUUUGGUGUAAUUAAUCUUGAAUAGUGAUGUCCAAAUAUUGAACUGACCUGUCAUUUUGCCUAAAAAGGUUCAAAAUUGCCUCUGCUCCUUUUAUUUUAUUUUAUUGAGUUGAAUAACAUGGCAGUACUUCUGUCCAUGAGGAUAUAGUAAUCUUACUCUUGCCUGCUUUGUUAGAGCACUGAUGCGCUUCCACACAAUGAAAAUGGAAGAAAUAAACAAGAUUGUAAGAGAACUGUGGCAACAAACUUACAGGGGACAGGACAUUGAUUACAUAAGCAUUCAUUCAGAUUCUGAAGGAGGUGGUACUCGAUCAUACAGCUAUAAGGUAGUGAAUUAUUUUUCUGUCCUCUGUUUCUAAAUAAGAGAAACUGGUUGCUUUUUUUCCAACUUUAUAUGUAUUUGUAUUUCAAUCUAAUUUUACAUCAUUUUAAGUGGGGUUCAAGUGAGUUGACUUGAGUGCCUUUUGUCACUUUGGGGCAGGCAUCUGCCAUCUUGUAAAUUUUGUUACAAUUCAAAUGUCAAAAAUUGGACAGUUAGUCAAAUGCUUACAAACAAUUUUGUUGGCAAGCGUCCUAUGACAAUGAUAUAGUUGGUAAUAGAUGCUGAAGGAAGGCAUAGCAUAAACAUUUAAGCAAUUUUUUUCAUAUCCAAUUGAAACAUAAAUGUGAGGAUCUCAUCCAGAAACAAAAGAUCGAUGGUUGUAAACAUGCAUCGACUACAAGAAGACAUAGACAUCUUUAGACAUGCAUAUUUGUAAAACCGAAAAUCACAAUUGCAUCGUUUAAAAGCAUUCCAUCACAUAGAAUUGAAGUUUUACAUUUAUUGACUUGUCUAGAAGAUGCAGCGCCCUUUGCAUGUACUUGAUGUUCUACUGGCGUUGCAUGCACAUUUCUAAUUAGUUGGGCUUUUCAUGCUUUGUUAAAUUCAUUAAGCAGCAGACUCUAUUUCAGAGAAAUGUGUCUUAUCUUUUUCUGAGUACUUUUGAACUUAAAUCUUCUACACAAUUUUCUGUUCAUUCUCCAUAAUUGCUAAUCAAAUGAGCGCACCCAUUUUCUCAAAGUGGUCUCAUCAACUUACCUCUACUAAUGACAACAUCUUUCAAACUUGACACCAUGUAAUCCUUGUCUCCUGCAGCGUUUCUUGGUAAACAAUCUCUGCAAUCUUCUAUGUUUUCACCCGUGGAUAUGUAACUAAUUUUACCAUUGCUUUUCUGACAUGAUUUAACCGUUCAAUAAAAUCUAGUGAGUAUUUGAUCAAACUGGAAUCAUAUAAUGCUGCAGGUUUUGAUGCAAACUGGUGAUGCGGAGCUAGAAAUGAGAGGAAGGUGCAGUGCUGGUCAAAAGGUCAAAUGAUGCUUAAAUCUGCUUUUUGCUUAGAUCAAAUCUGGAGGAGUUUGGCAAGAGAACUAUUGCUUGUUCCUUAAAUAUCAUGUUUCUUUACUCAGGUCCUCGCCUCACUUAUUAUUCGGUUAGCACUAGCUGAAACAUUUUGCCUCAAUUGUGGAAUACUAGCACUUGAUGAACCAACGACAAACCUAGAUGCCCCUAAUAGCGAGAGUCUUGCCGCAGCUCUUCUUAGGUAUGGCUACUCAUUUACGUGAUGUCAAUCAUGAUGUAGAUUCCUGUUUGCUCUUUACUUUUAUUUAUGUAUUGAUAUGAUUGUGUGGUCCAGAAUUAUGGAGGACAGGAAAGGACAGGAAAAUUUUCAACUAAUUGUUAUUACUCAUGAUGAGCGGUUUGCUCAACUAAUUGGUCAACGCCAGCAUGCAGAAAAAUACUAUCGUAUAAGCAAAGAUGACCAGUAAGCCUACUUUUCCAUCUGCAAUUAAUUUCCAGUAUCUUUAUGCUCCCCUCCACCCCAACCCCCCUCCCAAAAAUAAAAGAAAUACUAAGAGAGUUAAAUCUUUGUUCUACUUUUCCCACAAAAAUCAUCUUGUUUUUUUGUUUUUGUAGUCAGCAUAGCAUUAUUGAAGCUCAAGAGAUAUUUGAUUGAUCCCGCAUUUAUCCUCGCAAAGGUGGUGAUACGUUAGAGAAGGUUUCGACUGGUUCUCUGUUGUAUUAGCUAAAAUAGCAGAUUGGAGCAGCAAUCUUCCAGCAGUUUUGAGGCUUUCUCUUUCUGCUUACACGCCCUCCUGCCCCACCCUGGCUUUGUAUUUCAUUCUUUUUGACAGUUGAAUUGUUGCAUUUUUUAGGUGUCUAAUCCAUCUGUGUUUAAUGGUAUCAGAAUAUUGCUCCGAUUUGCGUUAUGACAUGCCACCUUUUUCAGAUAAUGCCUUGAUAAAAAUAUUUCUGUCCACGGUCAGCCUGUUGAUUAACCAGCGCUUGUAUUUGUCUGUUGUUUUUUCAUCAGAAACUGAUUUAGAUGUCAGGGGUUUAAAUUCCCAAGCAUUUUUGCUACAGCGUAUUCCAGGAAUUAAGAACGAACUCAGAGCAGAUAACAGUUUUUGGGCCUUAGUAGAAGUUGAAGCCCCAGGAGAAUAAGCCCCACAAAAAAAAAAAGUGGGCAGAUAUUACUGCACCUGUUUUUGGUCGAGAAAACUCUGAAACAGGAAUACCACUUUCCCAUGCUAUACCUUUGAUCGGAGGGUAAAAUUCUGUGACGAGAAUUCUGCAGAAGCUUGGGCUACAAAACUUUGUUUUAUACUACCAAAAACCCUUUCUGGGCUGGUGUUUGUGCAGAUUUCUAGUGAAAAGAACUGCAAAAGCUGAGGUUCUUUAGCAGUAGUUGUUGAUAUGAUUUUGAAUCUGUUUACUCGAAGUGUCAACCUGAUGGCCACUAAUGAUAUGGAGUAGCUAACAUUGGACGGUUAUUAAGAUUAUGGUGCAUAUUUUCCAAGUGCUGUGCUCCAUGGAAAGUGGCAAGUAGAAAUACGUUUGCUGCGAAAUGUGCUCCGUCCUGUUUUACAAAGAAUAAAGGGCCUAAAAAACUGCUUUCCCUUAAGCCAAGACAAUGUGGAACAAAAAUUAAAAUGGUUAAAUGGCGGAAUAUGUUAUCUUUUGAAUGGACAGUAAGAGGAAGAGGCACACUAGCAAGCAACCAUUCUUGAAUGAUAUACAACGUUUAUAACUAGGCCUAAUUUGUCACCAGUAAUUGGUAUUAGCUUUGCAACAGGGAUGUGAAAAAUCAAAUAACGUUCAUGAUGAAUAAUAAUAAAUGAAGGGCACUCAUGGUCUAUAGAUUUUUAGCGCAAAGUCCACACUGCACUUUUUCUUGCUUGCUCUCUUUCUGUUGUUGUUAGCUAGAUCUGGCCCUUUUGACAGCAAGGAACGGCUGUCGGAGAAACCAUUUCCAUGCCCCUUUCUUAUUGUGGUAUUGAGUGGAACCAGUUCAUUCCUUCUGAUUCAGAAAUAAAAAAAUCUUGCAUUAGAGCUGAAUGGAGUACCGUACAGUAUUUAAUAUUCAAAAUUUUUACGGCAAUCCGCUUGCUCUCUCAUCCGACCCUUAAUUAUCAAAUAGAAUUUGCAUAAACUUCUUGAAAGAUUUUGGUGUGAUUUAUAUGUUUUAAUGGGUGCAGGCAUAAAUGUAAAUGGCUGCAGAGGGCUGCAGGAGGGAAAUGGUUAAACAAGCUUUUAUAUCAUCGGUUAAUCAAGGGGCUGAACGAGGAAAAUGCUUCAAGAAUUGGACAUGGUCCAAAAUUCCUUGUAUUGGUUGGAUACUUCAUUUAGAGCGUUUAUCAUGGUGAAGUGCAUUUCCCGGACUCAGAUUUGAAGUCAGUCCAAAACUUGACAAGGUUCUCUUCCUGACAACUUUGCCAAUCAUAAAAUUACAAUGAGCAUCAACAACACUACGCACUAACACAGACUAUCUCAUCCAACUGUUGAGUUGGUAUGACAAACAUACACUAGACAAUUGCAAAUAUCAAGUGAUCAAAGAACAUCAGUUCUUUCUUGAGCAAUGGACCUGAGGCAAAGAUAGCUCUUACUUUUCCAACAUUUUCAUUCCAAAGCUCAUAAUACACCUGAUGCAACUACAACUCUGUGUAAAGCAAGUGUGACUACUACUCUAAAACCAGAAGUAGUGCAGCAGUGGUAAAAAUUACAUUAUUUUUCCUAAGCACUUGAUGAAAUUGAAGGGGGGGAAAAUUAAUAGAUCAAACAUUAGAAAGAAAAAAAAAAAAGAGUUGAUGCACGAUACUUAAUCCUUAUAUUUCAUUUCAGACACCUUGAAGCCAGGCAUGUCAAAGGAGGUAGAAAAUUUCUCGACAUCAGCCUUAAGUUCCUCAAUGUCCUUGUUGUUAACCAACCCCUUGUUAAAGUCCUUCAAAAGCUUUCCACGCUCUUUCUGGAUCUUCAGGCAGAGAGCCACAGCCCUGUGGAGAAACUCAGCAAUUUGCUCAAAGUCCUUCUCAACCAAACCCCUUGAUGUCAUGGCGGGAGUACCUGCCAACAGAAUCCAUUAUUGACAUGCCUCAAGAAGCAUUGCGAGACUAAACUAUUAAAUUGAUUUAAGUGUAAUCCAAAAUCAACAUAGGCCUAACAUUGCACUAAGUGUUGACUGUAAUGUGGGUAACUCAGUAGAAAUCAGAGAGAGUAGCAAGCAAAAAAUAAAGUAAAAUACAAUAAAACAACAUUAUAAAGUGAGCCCAAAUACAAACAACAAACAGAAAAGCUGCAUCUUGAAACAAAAAAACAAAAAAAAGGAACUCAUUAAUCCCAUAUCAAAGGUUAAAGGUUAGUUCAUAAAACAUGUGAUGUGAGAACUCUUACCAAUGCGAACCCCUCCAGGGGCCAAAGCGCUGCUGUCACCAAAUACAGCAUUCUUGUUGACAGUAAUGUUGCACAAGUCACAAAGUUUCUCCACCUUGUUACCUGCAAGGAUUUACCUCAAUUAGCACAAUGUAAGUGGAUAAAGUCUUAAUAUAUCAAGGCUAAGAAAUUACAUUUCCUUUACCUGUCAAACCAAGAGGGCGAAGAUCCCACAAGACAAGGUGAUUCUCAGUUCCACCAGUUACAAGCUUGUAUCCCUUGCUCAUUAGGUAAUUUCCAAGGGCCACAGCAUUGGCCUUGACUUGCUUAGCAUAAGCCUUGAACCCAGGAGACAUUGCUUGUUUCAAAGCCACAGCCAGAGCACCAAUCUGGUGGUUGUGAGGACCGCCCUGGAGUGAAGGAAAAACAGCAAAGUUGAUUUUAUCUUCAAAAUCAUAAACUGCAUCCUCAGGCUGACCUUUCUUGGGUGGUUUAGGACCCUUCCUGUAGAAGAUCAUUCCAGCUCUAGGGCCCCUUAAGCUCUUGUGGGUAGUAGUUGUUACCAAAUCACAGUACUCGAAAGGAUUUGCUGCUUCCUGAAUCACAAAUAUUUGAGGUGAUGGUUAUCAAUAUGAUCUGCAAUAUCAACAUGUUGCAGCACAAUAUUCUCAAAAGAAUCCCAAUGCAGGGAGCACUGGUUCACAUCGCAUGAAAUCCUAUGUGACUGUCUCUUGAAUCAAAUAUCAGAGCUACUUGUACUUUCUUUGUUUAGUCAAAACAGAAGUUUCCAUUAAAGUACAAAUACACAAUAAACAGAUGCCAGAUAGAUGAAAUUGGCAUAUGCAUCACUAGAUCUAGAAAAUUGCACUAGUAGCCAAAAGUUCUAUCAGAAUAAACUCAUAUAAAUUGUAUUAGGUUGCCUCAGAUCUUAACUCAUAUUUCUUGAAUAUAAUAAUCCUCAAGUUUACAAGAUUCACCAACACAACGACAACAGAGUAAAACACACAAUAAACUAAUAUUAAACUGAAUCAACAGAUCCACAACAUUACUCCAAGGAAAUAGUCAAUGUACAUUCCGAAUCAAAUUCAGAAUCUUUAAAUCUCAUAAUCUUAGAUCAUACAAACAAGUACUGAAACUCUAGCUUCUUAAACAUAUAGUACUACUAUUGCCAAUCCAAGUCCUUAAAUGCAAAUCCUAAGAUUCCAAUUAGGCAUACCUACCAUAAAAAGCUUUUUUUAUGAUUAUUUUGAGCAACCUACCACCACAAGCUUACCCUUCCUUGAUCAGAUCCAACAAUUUAAACAUUAUAAUCCCACAAUACUAAUCACAAAACAGAUCCAACAACUAAUCACAUGCAUUUUCAAAAACAAGAUACCCAAGCCCAGAUCCAAAAAGUAAGAUCAGAUGCACAUUGUACCUAAAGAACUGAAAUUUCAUUAAAACUAACAAGAAUUAAGCAUAUACCUGAGCAGCAACAAGGCCACUAAUAUGAGCCAUGUCACAGAGCAAAAGGGCACCAACUUUAUCCGCAAUCUCUCUCAACUUCUUGUAAUCCCAAUCCCUAGGAUAAGCACUCCCACCACAAAUAAUCAACUUGGGCCUAAAAUCCAACGCCUUCUCUUCCAACCUAACAUAAUCAAUAUAACCCGUGUUGGGAUCCACCUUAUAGGGCAAACUCUCGAAAUAAAUCGAGGUGGCGCUGAUUUUCUUCCCACCCGAGGUAUAAUACCCGUGUGUCAAAUGCCCACCAGAGGGCAAAUCCAAACCCAUGAUCCUGUCAUGGGGCUGGAGCACCGCCGUAUAUGCUGCAAAAUUCGCAGGUGAGCCGGAAUACGGCUGCACAUUGACCCCCCACUUGGUAGGGUCAAGCCUAUACGCCUGCAGUGCCCGAGAUCGAGUUAAGUUCUCGAUCUCGUCAAUGUACUCAUUCCCUCCGUAGUAGCGGUUUCCGGGCAUGCCCUCUGAGUACUUGUUCGUGAGAGCGCUGCCGAGGGCCUCAAUUACGGCGAAGGAGGUGAAGUUUUCCGAGGCAAUUAGCUCGAUGCCGCUGCAUUGUCGGCGUUUUUCUUUCUCAAUUAGGUCGUGGAUCUCGGGGUCUACGGUGCUAAGUGGGGUGUUUCCCCAUUCUGGAACGGGAUCCAUGAGGUUUUUUUUGGGUGGUUCGGGGUGGCGGUGGCAACGGCGGAGGACGGUGGUUGGUGGCGGUGCAGGGAGGCGGGAGGGAAAUGAUACAGAGAGGAGGGGAGAGAGAGAGGCAGGGAACUGAGGGAGCGGAGCUUGGGGUUUAAAGGGAAGUGGAAUGCGGUUGGUGGACAUAAUUACCCCUUCUUUUCCUUAUGCAAUAUCAUUUUAUUGUUUAUCAGACUUAUGGUAAGUUUUUCGGUGGAGAAUUAAUUUCUUAUCUUUUUUGUUUUAUUUUAUUAGUAGUAAGUGUUAUUUGUCGUUGGGUGGUAGGUGGGUGGGACUUUCUUUGGAAUUGGACUUUGGGAGUGGUUGAGGGGUGGACUUAAGACGAAGGUGCAAUUAUAUUUUAGUACUUUUAAUUUAGAGAAAAAUGCAAUUUUGGUACCUAAAUUUUGGCGCACGAGCAGUUUUAGUCCCCAAAUUUUGGACGAAAACAAAUUUGGUACUCGAAUUUUCAAAUUUUGAACACAUUAAGUACCCUUGACGAUUUUUUUCCAAAUUGUUACCGAAAAAAGCCAUGUGACAGUCACGUAUCCGGCUAAAAUGGAAUUAAAAAAGACCAAAAAUGCAGUUUUGGUACUUAAACUUUGACGCACGAGCGGUUUUAAUCCCCAAAUUUUUGAUGAAAACAAAUUUGAUACCCGAGCUUUCAAAUUUUGAACACAUUAAGUACCCUUGACGAUUUUUUUCUAAAUUAUUAUCGAAAAAAGCCAUAUGACAAUCACGUGUCUGGCCACAAUAAUAUAAAAAAAGGCCCAAAAAAUGUCAAAAGCCAUUCUAAUACUAAUAGCUAGUUUGGGAGUUUAGAAUAGAAAAGAAAAGAAGAGAAAGGGUAAGUUAGAAAAGAAAAGAAAGGAUGGGAAAGGAUUUAAGUUUCUAUCUAAGUUGUUUGGGAGUUUUAAAAAAGAAAAGAAGGUAAGUGGUUUUCUUUUGUUUGGGAGUUGAAAACAGAUGAAAAGAAAAGAUGCUCAAAUAGGUUAUUUUACAAAAUUGCCCUUUUUGAAAAUAAAUGUGAAUCAAGUAAGCUGAGGGACUCAUCCGGAAUUUAAAAUUUUUGUAUCAUGAUUUUGAGGGUAAUAUUGUCAUAUUGAAAAAUUCACUUAAAGCACUGUCCCUUCCUUUCUUUUCCGCCCAACUUAGGGCGGAAAGUUUUCCAAUACACAGAGAGAAGUGAAGGAAGUCCAAAUCCUUUCUUUUCCUUCUCUUUUUGGCUCUCAAACGAUGGAAAGAAUUUAUAAUCCUUACAAAGCCUUUCUUUUCUAUCCAUUUCUUUCCUCCCAAACUAGCUAUAAGUAUUAAAUUUAAGGACUAAUAGCAUAAUAAAGAAAAAAUUCAAGAACUAAAUAACAUCACAUGAGUCAACAAAACCCAAGAACCGAUACAAAUGAACUCCAAUUCCAGUACAUUAAUCUAAGAAUCAAGUCACAAAAUUUGUCUGGAAUUGGAGUUCAUUUGUAUCGGUUCUUGGGUUUUGUUGACUCAUGUGAUGUUAUUUAGUCCUUGAAUUUUUUCUUUAUUACGCUAUUAGUCCUUAAAUUUAAUACUUAGUAUUAUAAUGGCAUUUGACAUUUUUUGGCCUUUUUUUAUACAAUUAUGGCCGGACAUGUGACUGUCAUAUGGCUUUUUUCGGUAACAAUUUGGAAAAAAAAUCAUCAAGGAUACUUAAUGUGCUCAAAAUUUGAAAGUUCAGGUAUCAAAUUUGUUUUUGUCCAAAAUUUGGGGAUUAAAACCACUUGUGCGUCAAAGUUUAGGUACCAAAACAGCAUUUUGACCUUUUUUUAUUCCAUUUUGGCCGGACACGUGACAGUUACAUGGCUGUUUCUGGUAACAAUUUGGAAAAAAAUCGUCAAGGGUACUUAAUGUGCUCAAAAUUUGAAUGUUUGGGUACCAAAUUUGUUUUCGUGCAAAAUUUGGGAACUAAAACCGCUCAUGUGUCAAAGUUUAGGUACCAAAACUGCAUUUUUCUCUUUAUUUUAAGAAAGUAUGACCAAUCUCUUAAAAGUUUGAAUGUUUCCUCUCUCUUUUUUUUUUUUAUAAUUUUGAAUGUUUCUAUAUAGAAUGCCAAACAUUACAUGCAACAAAUUCAUCCAAAACAAUUUAAAUUGGCACAAAGUAUAUUCACCAUUUUCGAUUGAGGGAAUGGAAGGGAAAAGAAAGAAGAGGAAUUGGAAAAUUUUGAUUUUGAUUGUUUGGAUCAAUUUUUGAAAAGGGAAAGGAAAGAAUAGGAAGGGAUAGAAAGGGAAAGGAUCUAAUUAAUUUGAUGAAUUAUGGUUUUCACCGACUUUAAAACAUCAAUAAAAUUAAAUUUAUUAAAAUAAUUUAAAUUUUUUUCAAAGAUCGAUGUGUGCCUAUCUUUUUCAGUAAAUUAACACUUGAUCUUUUCUUUUUCUUUCCUUCCACAAUCCAAACAAAAAAUCAAUAUUUUCUUUAUUCUCCUUAUACCAAACAAUGUGGAUGUAAACCACUUUCCUUUACUCUUUCUUUUUUUUUUUUUAAGUGGUAUCAUUUUCUUUCCUUUUCCUUCCAUUCCUUCAAUGCAAACAGUGCCUUUGACUUUGAGACCUUAGGGCAAAGUCAUGCAUAACUAUAGUGUUGGACUAAAGUUGGAUAAUGGUAUAGUCUAAUAUUCCUUCUGAUGGGGUUUGUUCCAUAGUUGGUAAUGCAUUUGAAGUUAAUUUUUAACUAAGUGGUCUUUAAUUUUUGCCAUUGUAAAUUUUAAUUUUGUUCGAUAGCUACGCAUAUAAUUUUCUUAUGUACAUUGAAAAUAUAUGACAUUGUCGAGGGAACAAAAAAAAAACUCCAUUAUUUGACUUCAAAUACGAUGAUAUUCAAUUGCAGUAUCUUCAAUUUUCGGACUAAUUUUUAUGCGCAAAAUUAAGUUCUUAAAAAUUAAAAUCUUCUCAUGGGUCUCAUAAGCCAGAUCCUACAGUUGAUCCUAUAUUUUAGUUAAAAAAGAAAUUUUCACUUUCUAUGGUAGUACUCCAUUUUUGGCUUCUUGGGAACUUGGAAGGUAUAUUAGCAGCAAAUGAUAUUGGGCCAUAAUGGUAACAAAUCUAAUGCUUAACCCUAAUUGGAUCUAUACCAUUCUCUAACAACUAUGAUGAAACACUUUCUUGGCCAAACUAUGUAGGCAUUCACUUGAAUAUAAUUAUUAUCUGCAUAACCUCAAAUCUAACCACUAUUGCAACUAGAUGUUUAGUACAUCUUUUUCUUCAUUACUAGUUUUGGGGUGCCACGCACUGCCCAGGUUUGUGUUUAAUAUGUAUAUAUAAUUUUGGUGUUAUUUAUGAGAAGAGUGUUGUAUGGUAAUACUGAUGCAAUGGCGUGACAGGGUUUAGUUAUUAUGGGGCAACACAUACAAAAGAAAAAAUAAAAAACUAAUAAAUAGAAGAGAACUAGAAAGAAAGAAGAGAAGAAAGCUCCCUAUAGCCUAACCGAAAGCGAAAAACAACAGAGUUAAAACUGACAUCACAGUCACCCAGCGACCUCGGAUCAAUCCAGCAUUUGCUCAACAAUGACCAAACGUACCAUGCAGCAGCCAGCUGGACAAUGACUCAACGCACCAUAUACACAAUAUAGCGCCACGCAAUCACCGACAACAGCACCCACUCACAUGCACCCGAUUCAAUAAGCCCCACUAAAAGGCAAUGGCUAGGUUUAAGCUUAGCAUGUAUAAUUUUAGGGUUCUGUUUAUAAUGCAAUGCAUGUAAUGGUAUCCAAAUGGAAAUUCAUGUGCAUGUGGUGCGAAUAUUUGUCUAUAAUAAUGAUAUACGUGUUAUUGAAUCUGGAGUAAAUAUACUUACAGGGGAGAUAAUUAAUUGUAUUAGGUUUGUCAUGCCUAAAUGGUUUUUGUUGAUAAUUUGGAAAGGAUUGUUUUGUUUUAUUUUUUAUUGUUCCGUUGAUAUGUUAUAAUUUUUUUUAUGAGUUAUCCUAAUUUUUAGGCUCAUAUAAUAACUUAGGUAGUAACUAAGUUAGUAUAGUUAAAUUCUGAUUUUUUUUAACAAUCAAUUGAAUUCUAAUUAUCAUCUACUAUUAGCUAGUCAAUAGUUUUAGUAUAGUUAAAUUAGUUAAAUUUUUCAUUUUGAAUUCAAAAUUUGAUUUUAUUAUAGUUAAAUUAGUUAGCUAGUCAUCAGUUUUAGUAUAGUUAAAUUAGUUAAAUUCUAAUUAAAUUCUAAUUAGCUAGUCAACACUCAAUUAAAUUCUAAUUAUCAUCUACUAUUAGCUAGUCAAUAGUUUUAGUUUAGCAUAGUUAAUUUAGUUAAAAUUUUCAUUUUGAAUUCAAAUUUUGAUUUUAUUAUAGUUAAAUUAGUUAGCUAGUCAAUAGUUUAAGUAUAGUUAAAUUAGUUAAAUUUUUCAUUUUGAAUUGAAAUUUUGAUUUUUUUAACACUAUAAUUGUAAUUAGGAACGAUUAAUGUAAUAAGAUUUUUCUAACAAGGCAUUUAUUAAAAUGCCUAAAUUAGAUCUGACUUAUUAUGUGAACAUACUUCUUAAAUUUGGACACUUUUCCAAAAUAAUUACACUUUUGCCAAAAAUAUUAACAUCUGAAUUCUUGUAUUAUGAGUCCUCCGGAAGCACUCCUCAGUCAAACCCUUUUUAAUAUACCACAUGUUGACAUAUCACAAAGUAAAAUCUUAGUGUUAAUAUUAGUGCAAUGAAUUAAGUUUUUUCUUUUUUAGAUGUGUAAUAUAGAGCAUUUUCGCUGUUAAAGAUAACAAAGUGUGAGAAUACACACAAACUUUUUUGUAUUUUAUUGUUUAAAGUACUUAUGAUGGUUUUAAUUUGCUGUGAAGUACCAAUAAAACAUAAAACCGAACUCUUCAAGUUUUGGACAUGGCCCUAAAUUCUUGUCUUAUGCAGUUUGUGAGUCAAAUUGAAAUAAGCUGAGAUCGACUAGCAUAAUUUUCUUGGACCAAAAAAAAAAAAAAAUCCCAUUUCAAGCUUGAAUAAAAUUGCUUAAUGCUUGUAUUAGCUUUUCUACUUAAGCUCCACCAAUAAUGAUAUAGAAACAUGAUAGAAUGAAAAAAACUUUUUUCUAUCUUCAGUAAGGCUUCCAAUUUCUCCAAUCAAGAUCACACAGCUAAAAUUUUUCACAUGUUCAUUUUGCAAAUCAAUAAAUCUUUGAAGAUAGAUUUUCACCUUCCUAUUGCAUAGGAAAUUUGACCUUUUUUUUUUUUUUGUUUUGGGGGGGGGGGGGGGGGGGGGGGUUAAUAAUACUAGUAAAUAGAAUUUGCGCAUUUUAAUCACUCCAAAAAGAAACAAAGAUUUUGCUGAUAUUGACAACAUCCCAGAAUUUCUGGAUCUGGCUGAUUUACCGGAGAAGUACACCUAUUUUGUAGUUUAAUGGGAAACAACUUGUUUAUAAAAUGGAAGAAAAACUUAAUGGAGAAAAAAAUCUCAGUCUAAAAGGCAAAUGCAAAUCUGGAUGAAUUACAUGACUGGCUGCUUUAUUUGACAAUAUAAUUAUCAAAUGAUGUGGUCAUUAUGUCAUCUAUGUAGUUGGUAAACCAAUUUGUGUCAAUCUUUUUGUUUAGAAAAAUAACUAAAAAAGUUGGUAAAGGUUGGUGAAUUAGACUGUGGUCCUCUUGAAUUACCAAACCCCAUGUAUAUCCCUUGAUGCUGACCUCAAUUUGCUUUUCUCCUCCUUUUGUCUCAUACAUGAACCACGUAAGAAAUUCAAUAGUAGAAAUUAUGUACACCAUACUUCUUUCUAGGGAAUUAUUUACUAAAAAGGAUUUGAUUGUAUCAUAAACUUGUUUUUAAUUAACUUUUUAUCUUUUGAAUAACUUUUUUUAUCUCAUAUAUAUCAAAUUACAAAAAAUACUACACUAUUAUUCAACUUUAUCUUUUUUCCAAAUAAUUCCCUAUCCAAACACACGCAUUAAUAGCUUAAACAAAAUGAAGACAAAAACAUGGUUGUUGUCGUGUCAUUGUAAAACCAUUGUACUUCUAAUAGCUAGGGACAGCAACGGGGUGGGGGACCCCUUCCCCAUCCCCCGUCCUCUGCUCCCCCGCCCCGUCCCACUUUCCCCGCGGGGCUAAUAAAAAUUUGUUAUAUAAUUUUAUUAUGGUUAAAUUUUAGCAAAUAAUCAAGUAUUAAAAUAUCAACACAUCAUCAAAUUAUUAUUCAUUGUAAUUUUACAAUUGAAACUUAUAAAAACAAUCAAAUAAAAAUUAUUUGAAUACAAUCCAACAUGAUAACAUAAAUAACUAAAAUAGUCAAGUUUUCACUUUUGACACAAAUAUAAUCACUAAUUCAUUAUUGUACUUGUGCUUUUUUUAAAAAAAAUGUUAUUGUAUUAAGUGUAAUUAGGGAUUUAGUAUAAAUGUAUUAGUAAAUUUAGUAUAACCAAUUAAUAAUUUAUAUUAGUACACAUAUAUAAUUAUUAGUAUAAUUAAUAAUAUCAAUUAUAUUAUACAUACUAAUAGAUAUUAUAUAAUACAUAUAACUAAUAAUAUUAUUAUCAUAAGUUUGUAACUAAUUAAAUUAUAUAUUAUAUAUAUUAUAUAUAUUUAUUUUUUUAAAGCGGACGGCGGGGCAGGAAAUGGGACUGGAAUACACUUCCCGCCCCAACCCCAUCCCCAUUAGCCGCCAUCCCAACUAAUAGCUCUUCACCAAACACGCAACAACCCAAUAAGGGAUGUUGUCCAAUAGUUGAGGAGAUGUAUUCUUGUGCACGUAUGUUUCAAUUGAUUCACUUAGAUUAGGUGGGUUUAAUUACAGCCUCCUAGCUUUUACAUACCUAAUAUCUUGGUUUGAAAAAGUCAAUCUUGCACUUCCAAUGCGCACUUUCUUAAUAAAUCUUGAUUGAUAUUUUACCUCGAGUUUUUUAACGGGUGUCUUUAGAACACUCGUUGGACAAAUCGUUUCGCGUAUUGCAACUAGACAAUUGUUUUUGCACUGGAUUCUGAUGCAUAUUUCUUCUACAUAUCACAAGUUGACGGUUUUAUUUUAAAAAAAAAAAAGGCAACACACAUUUUCUUAAUUUGGGAAAUGCUAUUUAAUUAUUUAUGUAAAUUUUCUUGAUUUGGAAACAAUGAUUUAUCUAAUUGACACGAGAAAAUUAUGUAUUAUGUGCAAAACUAAGGGAGAAAUUAUUCUGAUGCAUCUAAUAAAAUGCUGUUGAUAUUUGCUGUGAUUUUAUCAUAAUUUAGCGUAAUAGACUUUACUAAAUCAAGUUUGAAGAACUAUUAUAACAAUAAAUCUCGUUAAAUAUAUCAUCUCUAGAUACCAUUUUGAGAAACAGUUUGAACCAGGUCGUACAGCUAAUUAUUAUCCAUACAAUUGCAUAACUAUAACUUAGGAUGCACAACAACUAUAAAUAAGAUUAUUAAAAAAAAAAAGAUACCAAAAAUUUAAAGUGCGCAUUAUGGUGUCAUUUUUUCCCUUCUUGUUUCCUGCACUAUGAAUUCUUUUUCUCUUGAAAAAGUGAAAUCAAAUAAGAAAGCGCAAAAAGUUGAAAGUGACAACAAAUAUAAGUACGAACACAACAAGUGAAAAAAUAUGUAGUGACGCAAAAUCUUCAAAAAUCGUAUAUAAUAUACCCAAUGAAUACUUGUUAAGAUAGAAUUGGAGUAUUAAUUUUUUAAAUAAAAUUAAAAAUGUAUAGAUGCAAUAGGGGACAUUUGCAUUUACAGAUAAGUCUAGUGUAGAUCGUGCAUAUUCUAGCAAACAAGUCGAGGUUGUUGGUGGGAAAAAAAAAAUCCAUGAUUUCGAACGUAGACAUCACUUGACCCACCACCAUCUCUUAGUUUGCUUGGUAUUAACUACUCUUGGUGGAGUAAAUUAUAGUACUUAAUUACAACGAUUACGAUUGAUAUAAUUAUAUACUAAUUAGCUCUUUUUUUUUUUGUGACACGGCCUUGUUUGGAAAAUCAUUUUUUAUCAAAAAAACUUUUAUAUUUUUUUAAUAUUUUUUAUCUCAUAUAUAUUAAAUUGAUAUAGUAAACUUUUUUACAAAAAUUCCAAAAAAUUACGAUCUAAACAGGAUAGGGUUAGUUGUUUAUAGUUUUGCAGCUUCAAAAGAAGGGCCGGGUUAACCUGCGGAAAAUAAGGCCUUUGAUGUCGUCAACUUGUAGCCGCGUUCUCGCUUUUCGUCGUCGUCUGCGAAAGCUCACAUGCUAUGAUCGUGUAGACCCUUCCCCCCCUCUCUCUUUCUCUCUCUCUCUCUCGUGGUAGUAAAAGAAGAUUCCUCUAUCCUCUCUAUUUCUUGGUAAAAAAAAAUCACGGCCCUCAGUCAUUCUACAGAUCAGAAUAUGUCAUUCUACAGAUCACGGCUCUCUAUUUCAUGAAAACCCUUAAAUUUCUAUAAUAUUUAUAUAAUUUUGACAUAAUUUUAAAUGUGCUUUCAGAAUUUUUUUAGAAAAGAUGUGAAAGAAUGGAUCACAAAAUUUAGUUUUGUUAUUUAUAUUAAAAAAAAAUAUACUUUGUGAAGUUUACAAUGAGAAAAUUAUAAACCGUUAUCAAAAUAUGAAAACUCGUCGUGAGCAAUUAUAAAUAGUUUAGUUUGUUUUGAAAUAAAGUUAUUAUUACAUUAAUAAUUUUGAAUUUAUUUUUUUAUAUUUUUCAUGAAAUAUACGUAUCAUUUGUAUUUGUUGGUAAAUUUAUUUUUUUUUUUGCUUAAAAAACUAGAAAAAUAAUAAAUAAAAAUUUUAAUAUUAUUUUUGACCUCACUAAAAUUUUUUUUGGCUCCGCCGCUGGUCCAUGGGAUCAUAAAUCACUUAUAGGUGAGAAAGUUGUCCAUUUUUAUCAACUGAGACAAGUUACGUGGAGUUGAAUUACGUUGUCUCUGUUGGUAUCGUGUAUGAAGUUACUGGACAAAUGGAAAAUCCACGUCUACGGUGGAAAUGUCCCUUUUCUGCCCACGGUAGGCAGAAGCAAUGCAAGGAGGGCCAACUGUGUUAUGUGGGGACGCACAGAGACAAACAGCAAAAGGACGUACUGGGCACUGGCCACCAGUUGUACGGCGUGAAAUAAUGCAAUACAUUUUAAAAUCACAAUAAAAAUUUGUUCUUCAGCUAAUGCCAAAUACUUAUAUUUGAUAAAUUAAAAUAGUUAAUUAAAUAUUCUAUUAUAAUAUGAAUAACUAUAUAUGUCAUUGAAUUGGUUGAAUACAUUUUUUUUGGCAUUUCAACUAGUUGUCAAUUAAGUUUCAAUUGAAAUAAAGUACUUUUAAGGAUUUUUAUGAGAUUUGAGAACAUAUUUUUUAUGCAUUUAAUCUAAUUCACAUUUUAUUUCAUUUAAAAUAUAAGGGACCAUAUUGAUUAAAUUUUCAAAUAUUAGGGACCAAAAAAUAUAAUUCUGAUUUGAUUUUGACGGUCAGAUAUUGUAGUUUUCUAUUAGUUGUCAUAAAUUUGCCUAAAAUAAAAAUUUUGGGACCAUAUUUAUUUUAGUCGAAAUAUUAGGAACUAAUUUAACUCAUAGACCAAACAUUGGGGGAUCAAAAUUGCACAUCUCCCUUUAUUUUAAUCAUGUUUGAGUUCCUAACUCUUCCUUUUAUAUCUACGCUUUAAUUAUUUCAAAUAUCAAACUCAAUUAAAAAAGAAAACUACCACAACAUUUGCUUUGACACAUAUAAAACUCACUAACUAAUAUGGAAAAUUUCACCAAUUUUCCAUUACAAUAAUCUUGUUUACCUUUUCGUGUCUUUUGUUCCACAUUUCUUUGACAUUCACUUUUUCGUUCUUCCCCUUUCAUUGGAGUCGGCAUUUUUGGCUUGAGUGUUCACAAAAUAUUUACUAAGUAUUGAGCAUUAGAUUAGAUGAUGAAUAAAUUUUUAAGAGGAUAUUUAUUAUAAUUUUAAAAUGUAUUGCAUUAUUUCAUCCACUCAAAACCGGCUUUCCCCAACCACAGAACCCCGGCCUCCUUGCAUUGCUUCUGCUUACCGUGGGCAGAAAAGUGAACUUUCCACCGUAGACGUAACCUAGAUUUUAAGAAGUUGAUUAUUUGGUAGAAAAAAAAGUUUUAGCAUGAGACAAAGUCAUUUAGUGCCAAGAUUAGGGCAUGUCAUCGAUGUACUCUUUUAACCGAUUUUUAAAUUUUUUUUUAUAGAAAAUUAGGUGGUUUUAACUCCAAUCACCAUUAUGGAUUAAGAUAUCACCUCAUGAUUGCAAAUUCCUUAAUGAAGUAUUUAUAGAUUACUUACCAACAUAACUCUUUUAGGGUAAUGAGAUUCGAACCGAUAGUGUUUUCUGAGGAACACACAACCUUUACAAAUUAGCUUCGAAUGAGAAAUUGAUGCCACUAGACUCAAACUCGAACUUUUUUUUUCCGAGUUUUGAGCAACACAAAUCUUACCUAUUAGGUCAACUUCCGUUUAUAAAUUGCACAAAUUGAUGAUACCACAAUCCGAUAAACAAACCAGUUAUGUAUGCUUAAAUGACUUGCAAAUCUAGCAAACCCCUCAUUUUAAUACUCUUUUUGUCCCAUUUUGAUAGUUCUAAUUUUUUGUCACACAGUUGUUUAAGAAAAAAUAGUUAAUUUUGUUGGAAAAAUAAAUUUAAAUUGCUAUUUUCCUAAAAUACCUUUACAUUAAAUAAAGUUGGCUUUUCAUAUAUCAAUAUGUUUUGAAAAAUCUUAAUGUAUUAAAUGGGGUAGGUUAUAUUCAAUAUUAAAUAAGGUAGUUUAUAGUAAUAACAACUUACGUUGAAUAAGGGCAUUUUAGAGAAAUUAAAAAAUAACCACAUUCUUCAAUUAGAGAGUGAACUAUAAUUUGGGACAGACGAAAAAGGAAAACAGGACUAUCAAAGUGAAACAGAGGGAGUAGCAUGAUUCAGAAAAAAGAAAAAAUGGCGCUUGAGUGUACUACUACUAAAGUUAUGGAAAGCAUGUCUCGAAGACCGAACAUUUUCAAUAUGGAAACAUGUCAACUGAAUUCGCUAAUUUUAUAUAUUUUCCUCAAUUGGAUAGCCACAUUUUGCAUUUGUAUUCUUGAAUUACAAAUGAAAAUAAGGAAUAUAUUUUUUCCCAUACAAAUUUAUAUGCAGCAAUACAUGAAAAUUUGGAUCACAAGAAUACAAAACUCAGACACUUGCGUUUGAAGGUAAUUUGGGCAUGACCACCGACUGGCCGACAGCCUAACCCACGGAUCCUUGCUAUUAAACUAUUAGUCGCCACUCCACCUCCGUUAACUCGGGUGAGAUCUAUAGAUUCAAUCAAUGUUCCCACACCACUACACACAAUAAUCAAUUAAUUGGAUCCAGGGCCUCUGAAACAGUAUUAAAUCAAGACUCAAAAUUUGAAAUUUCAAUAUUGUUAUUUAGUAGUGUUUUAUUCAAGUUAGGAUUUUAGUAAUUCUAUUGGAGCCAAGUUAUGAUAGUUUUAUUGUUUAGAAAUUAGUAUUUUAUUAGAAAAUUUCUUAUGGUUGUAAGACUUGUUUAUCAAGUCAUCUAAUCUAUAAAUAGUGAGUCAUAUUAUCGUGCUUAGUUAAUAAAAGUGAAGAGUUGAGAUCCUUGUUCAUAUGAUGUGAUUAAUAGAUUAUUGUUUGUAUUAUUCAUCUUCUGCCACACAUAUCUUUAUAUGUGUUAAUUACAUCUCCGUUUAUAUUCAUUUUAUGAAAUAUAUCUCUUAUAUAUUUUUGGUGAAUUUUUUGGAUUCUACAUCUCCAAUUAAAUUAAUACAACUUUGGUAUAAAUUGGUACAACAUUGUUGUGAUCAUGAGUUUUUCAUCAAUUUAAUAUAAAAGUCAUGUUUACACCAAAAUUGUACACAUUUAUACUAAGGUUGUAAAAUUUACACAACUGGAAGGAACUGGCAUUGGAGAGGCUCCAUUUCCCAGUUAAUUACUCACAAACACACCGCUAACCCCCCAAGUUUAUCCCAAAAAUGAAGAAAAAAAAAACACUCUAGUUUGAGGUCUAGUUGAAGUUACUAAAAACAUAUAGAAAUAGGGACAAGAACUAGGUCUGCUGAGACAAAUAAAAGAUGUUAUGGUCUUAUCCGGUCAAUUUCUUUUUCUUCCUUCUUGUUUUUUUUGCUCUUUAGCUCUGAUUGCUUGACCAUGCAAUGAUUUACAAGCAUAGUUGUCAAAAUCGCGAUCCAGAUCGUAGGAUCGAUCCUACGAUCCUACGAUCCGGAUAAUCAAAAUCGAUCCGGAUCGUAUAUAGAGUCGCAAAUCAUAUUAAUCUAUGCAGGAUCGCGUAGGAUCGUAGUAGAAUCGUACGAUCCUACAAUUUUUUGUAAUUUUGUGAAAUACGAGGCUCCAUUUUGCAAGUAAAUGAAAAUAUUUGUGGUAUAUUUGUAAUUUAUCAAAGAAUUGCAGCCUUUAAUUACAAUUAGGAGCUUUUUUGGUAGGAUCUUACGAUCCUACGAUCCUACGAUCCGAUUCUGUGAAACUAAAAUCAAUCCUAUGUAGAAUCCCGAUUUUACAAACCUUGUUUACAAGUUGAUAUCUACUUAAUUUGGCAUAAAAUCUAUCCGCAUUUUCUAGUGAAAUAAUAUAUCACACAAUAAACCUAGACACAAAUGCGUUAGCAUUAAAUUGUAGACAAGUUGGCAGGUCAAGGAGCACCAUUUUGGAUGUUGCACUUCAGUAUAAAUCUUGAUCUGGUUUGUAGUCGUGGCUUCCACAUUACCCUCAAUUUUUUAUCUUUCUUACUACUAUUAUCUUUGUUGCACAGCUAUCCCAUUCAAGAACACUCACUUUCUUCAUUUAAUCAUUUUAUUUAUAGGAUGGUGGAAGCCACUGGCUCUGACUUCUUCUGGACCAACCAAAACCUGAAUCAAAUUACUUUAUAAAAUGAAAGAUUGGGAAUACAUUUAGAUAAAUAUUUUAUGCAUUAUCAGUGUAUAUGCUAAUAAAUCUAGAUACAUGUCACGUAUAUAAAGCUUGUUAUUCAAAUUCAAAUUCAGAUGAUGUGACAUAAAUCUAAAUUCGUAAGUGAAUACGUUAACUGUAUAGAAAAGAUUAAUCCAAUACAUUUCUGGGCAAACAUCAUUUAAUCAUGAACUCUUCCCUUUAUUUCAUGGUACUUAUUUGAUUGUGUAGAAGAAACCUUCAUAAUCUCAAUUCUGAACUGCUUUGCAGUGAGUUACAUGCAAAAGUUCACGUUGGAUUUUCUCAUUUUGAAAAAUGUGUGGUGGAAAUUGGAACUUGUGAAAGCUUAGAAUAUAUGAUAGGACUCCUGCAUGAAUACUAAUCACGUAAACCCUUAAACCUUAGUGUCCACCUUUAUUGCUUUAACUUAUUCAUGGUUUCAAACAAUUAGAAUUCGUAAUUAUCAAAACCCUUGAUCGACCGGCUUAGUCACAAGAAUGAUGGAUCAUUGGAUGACAUCAUAAUUACAAAAAAUCUGCUAAAAAAAAAAAGGGAAACAUGCAGACACAUAAAUACAUACAUAUAUAUGUAUGUAUAUGUAUAAUUACAUAGUUUGUGCUGAUAUUUAAUUAAUACAAAUGAUACGAGACAAGAACGGUCAUUGAGAAAAUUAUUGCCAACUUGAAUUUAAGUAGUAACCCAUUCAAAAUGGUGCUAUUAUUUUCAAGAAUCUGCAGUGCAUUAGUCCAAUCCAAUGUCAUAGGAUUAUCUCAGAGAUUUACAUUUAAAUUGUUGAAAGGUAUACUUUCAAGAGAGGAUUCAUGGAAAUUCCGUUGUAACUUGUGCAAAUUAAUUGUUCAUUCUCAUGGUUAAAUAAAUCUCAAAAUUAUUAGUUGAAAUGGAAGUCGAAACCAAGUUCUACAAAAUAACAAAUAUAUCCACAACUGAUAGUUUAACAUUCAUCAUUUGCCAAGCUUGUGCUUACAAGUGUAAGCCAAAAAAUCCAAAAUUCUUACUCUUAAGGAGGUAGAGAUAAAUAAAUUAAUGAUGCAAGUUUUACAUUGCACUAGAUCAAUGAAAAAGUGAGAAGUUUUUUGGGCAGUCUCAUAAUUCAUGGAACUAAAAUAGAUCUAAUACUAGAAAUCUGACUAGUUUCCUAGAUGUAGUGAAAGGGUGGGAUUGGGACUUAGGCAUGUUUUUAUAACAAAGAACUUGGUAGUUUUGAGGAUUUUUUCAUGUCCUGUACUGUAGUCACUUUUUUAUAAUCUGAAUGUUUUUGGAGUUAAACUACCGUACGUAGGGCACGGAAAUAAUUCAUUUUUGGUCGCAGAAAAGUACAUUGCAAAGUUUUUCCUUUUUUGUUGGGGAGGGUAGGCAGUGAUAGAGCCAGGAUCUUAAGAUUUUAUUUUAUUUUUUUGUCAUCGUCACUUUUAUCUAUACUAGCCUAUUCUAAACUAAUCUAAAGGGAAAGCCCAACUGGGUAGGCCUAUCAACGGUCCAGGUCUAGACUCGGACUCGGACCAGAUCCGUCAAAUAAUUUCAGGUACGGGUAGAGAUAUAAUUCCGUUACUCGGAUCCGGAUCCGGAUCCGGAUCUAUUUUAUCAAAAAAAAAAACGAAUUGGAUACGGAAUAUGGUAUUCCGACCCGUAUUGGACCCGAAUCCGGAUAUAAAUUGACUAAUAAUUUUAAAAAUAUAUAUUUAUUAAUAUAAUACCCCAAAGUUACUUCUCUGACUAUUAUCCAUAUAGUCAAAUACACCAAAGACAAGUGUUGUUGCAAAAAAAGGCUUUUGAUGAACCCUUUUUCGGGUAGGCCCGACCCGGAUCCGGGAGAAAGAGUAUAGGACCCGUCGGGUAUUCGGGCCGGAUCUGGAACUGGUAUAGUAUCCUAGGUCCGGAUUUAUUAGUUCCGGCCUGUUGAUAGCCUUACAACUGGGUUUACGGGAGAUUGAACUACCAUCAGAUCAUACAGAUACACUAUGCACUCGUAUGGAUUUUUUGAAAAAAUCACAUAUUAUGGCAAUUGAUGGGAGAUAAGAUUUGAAUCUUUGACCUUCUACCCCACCAAGUCUUAAUGUUUUGGUGGUGGGCAAUAACCUUUGGUUCAGGAUCUUAGGAUCGAGGGGUUAAUCUUUGGCUUCACAUGGAAUGUAGUAAUAAUGAAUUAAAAUCAAUGAAAGUCUAUGUAAAACAUAAAAUUUUUCCCUAUGAAAAAUAUGUUUCGAGUUUAAAUUUUGCUCGAAUGUACCAAUAAGAAUCAUUAUCAAUUUCAGUUUGAAAGCAUCGGAAGACCUUAUUCUUGGGUUAAUAGCUAUACUUUUAACACUCUCGUGAAGGGUAAUAAUAAUCAAAUUUUUAAUUAUUUUUUUGAAGGGAGAGAGGGGGAGAGCGAGUGGGUGGAGAGGAUAGUGCGCUAGAAAAAGAAUUUUGUGGACUUUGGGAGUUCUAUACAUAUUAGGGGGGAAAUAGAGAGUGACUUUAAAAAUUUCUAAACUUGCAAAAUAUAAAAACAUAGUGUCACAAAGGACUAGGGUUCAAAUGUUGUCAAAAAAAUCGUUUAGGUCGGUUUUUAUUUAAAUGCACAAGAUGUAAUCUCAUUUGUUCAAGAUGCAACUCAUUUUUAACAACUUAUAAGUAUAGAACAAAAUUUUAUAAAACCCACAUAUGAUAUUAAAAUCAAUGUACAAAAAUGUAAUAUGAACUUUUUUUUGGUAAAAAAUCUCAGCGACUACUAAAUUAUUGAUCGAAUCAUGUUUUGACCAUCAAACUAGUUUUUAUCAGUAAUUGACCACUAAAUAACUUAAUCAUUAAAUCUGUAAUCGUUUGGUUGAUAAUUACUACUAAUCUGCGAAAUUAGCAGAUUACGUGGCAAAGCGGGGCAAUUUUGCCACUUCGUGCAUAUGAAAUUAAAUAUUUUUGGUUGACUCUCUCCCCAGCAUCUCCCCUUUUCCCGUCUCUCCAAAGGCACCAACCAACCUGCCACCACCAUAUGGAGAUGGACAGUCCACUAGACCCUCAAUCAGCAGUAUUCCUUGCAAAGUGCCUCAACUUUCCUGCUCCUACACCUCCUCCACCAUCUGGUGGCAACGUUGACAAAGAUGGAUUCACAACCAUGGCUGUCUAAUGACUCCUAAUUUUAAACCCCAAAUUCCUCAUUAGAAAAUUCUCCAAGGACAUUAAAAUCAUUCAAUAGACCCUUAUAGCCAUAGUCUUGUUUCCCAUAAAAACCGUCAUCGGCCACUACCAAAUCACUUGUUCCUCUGGGAUAGUGGUCAUUUCCAUCUCCUCUGAACUAGCUGCUUUAUUGGCCACUUCAUUCUCCAUCUCCUCAGUGUCUUCUUUGCCUCUCACACAAGAUCUAGGUUUAAAAAUUUUUUGUUAAAGCUAUAUUGAGAAACCCAAAUGUAUACCCCAAAAUUACAAGAAAAUUUCAACCAAAAAUUAAACUAGGUAUUAAAGAAAAAUAUUUGGGCUUUGGUACUUUGAAGGAUGUUGAGUGGGAAUGAAAGCAAAAGAAACCAUAACAGAUGUGGUGAAUUGUUUUGAUUCAUAUUAUUGAUGAUGUGGUGAAUUGUAUACCACAUGGUCUAUAGGUGUGGCCGUUGACCGAGGCUACGCAAGUUUUUGCCAUCACAGAUUAACUGCUAAUUUCACAAAUUAUGAGCAAUUAUCGACAAAAUGAUCAUAGGUUUAUUGAUUAAGUUAUUUAGUAUUCAAUUACUGAUUAACAAUAAUUUGAUGGCCAAAACAUGAUCCGACCAAUAAUUUAGUGGUCGGUUAGGUUUUUUGCCCUUUCUUUUUUGUCAAAUGAUGGCAAUCAAUAUUUAAGCCUAGUUUGGGAGAUGAGAUUUGAGCCGAAAAGAAAAGAAGUGAAGAGAAAGGUAGACAUUUUCCAUGUUUGAGAGUUCUAGUGAAAUAGAAAGGAAGAAAAUAUGACUGAUUUCGGAGGAAGAAGAGACCUGCUACAGUUAAAAAAAAAUUUCCAACCCAAAUCAGGCAGAAAGCAAAGAAAAGCUAUGGAAAGGCUGUAAAAAUUUUUUAAAUUGCCCAUUCUAUCUUUGAGAAGCUAUUGAAUGGAAUAUUUAUUGAUCAAUGGGCACAAAAUCAUCUUCUUGUUCUUUCAUAAACUCUCAACUAACAUUAAAAUCUUUCUCUUUCUUUUCUUAUCCUUUCUUUUUUUUCAUAACUUAACCUUGCUCUUCUUUUCUUUUCUUUUCUUUUCUAUCCUCAACUCACAAAUUAGACUUUAGGGACCGACAACCAUCCAUGUCCCGCACAAAAGGGAGACCGAAAACUACAACGUUUUGAGUAUGCCGUCGGUCAUGUGGUGUUCCGGACAGAGUGCACACACUUUCGAGUAAACUGAAAAAAAGGUUAACGGUUAAAAACUCCAGUAGCCAAUUUCUGGUACUGCUUAAGUUUAGAGGAUUUGAUUCCCCUUUUGCAGCAGAAAUUCCUGGACUCCGGAAAUGAAGAAAUGCCAGGAACUUAGGCACCAAGAUCUAGUCUUCAACCAAAUUUCAGUACUUGAUAGGCCGAUAAAAAAUAUGAAACAGGAUCACCAAACUUACCUACCCAAUUGAGCCAGAUAACGAAAUUCAUUCAGUUGGAGAAUCAAUUGUUGUUUGAAGCAUUUCUAAAAAAGUUUCCUACCUAAAAGGAGGACAAGACAAAAACAUCCUUUUCUAGUGGUCCUAAGACAAAAAAAAAAAAAUGCCAUGUUUACAAGGAAAAGUUUUGGUUACAUGUUCAAAGAAUAGUUUAUUCAAUUUUUACAAAUAUUUGCAAGAAUUUUCAAAGGAAUCCUUUGGCUUUGUGCUGUACUAACUCUCGUUAACCCAAAUAAUAAACAUGAGUGGUUGGUCAACCACCCCUGAAACACCCCUAAUUGACCAAAAUAACCAUAUCCAUCUUCAAGUUCUGUUUUGAAAUGAUUUUAAAGACGUGGUUUUAGCUUUUGAUUUGAAAACAAUUUUUGUAUAUCAAGAAAAUAGAGAACAAGUUCUUAGUUGUGUCCGUGGAUUAUCAAGUGAAAUAUUAAGGUGUUGUUUGAAUUGCAAUUUUCUAACAUAAAUUUUUUUAUAUUUUUCAUAAUUACAUUUUUAAUUUAUAUAUAUAUAUCUCAAAUUGCUAUAGUGUAUUUUUCUACAAAUACUUUAGAAAACAGCAACGGAAUUGUGUUUUAAAUUAGUUGAAUCUCAUGUCUAAACUAUUACCUUUCACUUCAAAUUUCCUUUUUAGCCAAAUUCCAUUUUUUACGUUUUUGUGUUGUUAGUAGUCUUUGCUCUGUAUGUAGUCAUUCAUACUUCAUUCAUGACAUAUUGAUCCAUCAAAUCUCCAGCUCCGCAGCCCUAUUGCUUUGUGAAAAUAUCAGUAACAGUGUAUAAACAUCGGGUGAGGGAUGGGUUGGAUGGUACGGGAGGGACAGUGCAAGUGAGAGAUCCUGGGUUCGAGACCUGUUACUUACACAAAAAAAAGUGUAUAAAUAUGAGUAACAGUAUAAAUGUCAAUAAACUUUGUGGAAAACACGGUUAAGGACGGAAAAUUGUGUGCUAAAAUGUAUAUGUAAAGUAAAAAACCAAUCAAAUUAGAUAGUAAAAAUAUUACUCCGGUAAGAUAAUUGUGAGUUUCAUGGUUCAACUCACAAACCCUAUGUUUUUCCCCAUUUUUUGGGUAGAAGUUAAAGCCUCCCUUCAAAUCAAAUAAAGUAAUAAAGCAGCUGAUUCAAAGGUUAAAACUAUACCUCUUUAACAUAUCAUUUUGGGUGUUUGGAGUCUAAACCUUAUUUUAAGCUCUUUUUAAUUUUUUUUUUAAAAAAAGUGAGAUUUAAGAAGUGAGGAGGAAAUAGGAGAUUAAAAUUCAGAACCUUAUUUUAACCUCAUUUAUCACUUAUCAAAGAUUAAAACUUUUUAUUAGUGUAUACACUGACGGCAUUAGAUGUAUGCCAUAUUAUUUACAUUUUAAUUUGAAUAUCAGAUUUUAUACAUGUGACGUGCAUCUAAAUUCGCUAAUAUUUACACUGUUAAUGUAUAAAAGUUUUUUUUUUUUUUUGUCAAAAGGAAACUUGUUACUUUUCUUUUUACCCUGUUUCCACUUUAACCACAUCUCAACAGUGAAUUCAAACUCCUAAUUUACCAAAGGGAUAAUAUCAAAACCUCCAUGGAGAUUUCUCUUAAUAUCAUUUAGCACCCUUGAGAAUUUUGCAAUAUCACUUACCUUUCCUAAUAAUUGUAAAAAGACUAUAUUAACUCUCACUUGGCACAUAAUUCACAUAUCAAAUAAAUGAAACUCAAAAGUUAAAAAAAAGAAAUGAAAGUCACUUUCUUCUCUUUUCUUUUUCUCUAUCAUUCUCUAUUACUCAUUUUUGGAUGACUAUGUAAUAUUUUAUUUGUAAAUUAUAAUAAAUUAAAUUUUAUUUAUUUUUAUUUUUUGUGAUUGUGAUAAAGUGGGGUAUGAUUUAUUUGCUUAUUUUGAGUUAAUUUUUAUAAUGAUUGGUACAAUUUAAUAGUUUGGGGAAGGGUUGAGAAGAAGUUGAAAAAAAAUGUAAAGUUUAUAAGAAAUUGGUUUUAAACAUAUAGAAUUAAAUUGGUGCAAGUGUAUUUCUUUUCAAAUAUCUUUUUUAUUUUUUAAAUUUAUUUUUUAUGGGACAUAGUAUUAUGAUAUGGUAGUACUAUAAAAAAUUAUUUUUUAGAUGAUGGUUUUCUUGAAGUGAACAAAGUGGUUUAGAAAUAUUAUUAUUUAGCAAGUGAAAGGGAUAGUUUAGGGCUUUUAAAAAUUUUGUUACACAAAUAACAAAAGUAAGGGAGCUAAGUGAUAUUUUUAAAACUUUAGGGGUGUCAAGUAAUAUUAAGAUAAACCUCUCCUCUGAUAUUUUCUAUUUAUCCCUAUACCAAAUCCCUCCUCCAAUCAUCAUCAAUGCAGAUUUCCACAUCACUUCACCAAACCCCAAAUAUCCCCAGAUCUCCAAUCUCAAAUCUCCACCGUCCAUUCCCAUCUUUUUUUUUUUUGAUCAAGUCCAUUCCCAUCUCUAAAACCUAUUUAUAUACCUCCAUUCCCAAUCCUUCCUCUUGUCCCGCUCUCUUCUUUACCGCAGAAAACCCCCCAAAAGAAGAGAGAGUGCACAAAAAGACCAGACACUAAAUCCAACCCGGCCCGAGCCCAUUUCACCCCAUCAGCUUUAAGCCAUGGCUUUGCUAGUAGAGAAAACUACCUCCGGUAGGGAGUACAAAGUCAAGGACAUGUCCCAAGCCGACUUCGGCCGGCUCGAAAUCGAGCUAGCCGAGGUCGAAAUGCCCGGGCUCAUGUCUUGUCGGGCUGAGUUCGGGCCCAGCCAGCCCUUCAAGGGUGCCAAGAUCACCGGCAGCUUGCACAUGACCAUCCAAACCGCCGUCUUGAUCGAAACCCUAACGGCAUUGGGCGCCGAGGUCAGAUGGUGCUCCUGCAACAUCUUCUCCACCCAGGACCACGCUGCUGCCGCCAUUGCCCGCGACAGCGCCGCCGUUUUUGCCUGGAAAGGCGAGACCCUCCAGGAAUACUGGUGGUGCACGGAGCGGGCCCUUGAUUGGGGUCCCGGCGGUGGCCCGGAUCUCAUUGUCGAUGAUGGUGGUGAUGCCACAUUGUUGAUUCAUGAGGGAGUGAAGGCGGAGGAAGAGUACAAGAAGUCCGGGAAGUUGCCCGAUCCAGCCUCCACUGAUAACGCUGAGUUCCAGAUUGUCUUGACUAUUAUUCGAGAUGGGUUGAAGACCGAUCCCACGAAAUAUGCCAAAAUGAAGGAGAGACUAGUUGGAGUGUCUGAAGAGACCACCACUGGUGUUAAGAGGCUUUACCAAAUGCAGGCUAAUGGGACUCUUCUGUUCCCUGCCAUUAAUGUGAACGACUCUGUUACCAAGAGCAAGGUAUGAUUUUGAUGGUGAAAAUAUUUGAUUUGUUAUUAGAUCUGAAUUUGGGAUAUAGUUUUUUAUGCUUACUGGCCAGGAUCCAGUUUAGUUUGGUUGAAUUCGUGGUCUGUAUAGUAGAUCUGAUUUGGGUUUCCUUAUAUUGGCUUAGAUCUAUGAUUUGGUAAAUGCUGAACUCAAUAAUUGAUUGAUUCUUGUUCGAGUGAGAAGAUUAAUUUUGUAAAGUUGGUUGUUGCCAAACAGUAUAAAAUUCUAGUAGGAUAUGGUGUUGGACAAUGCAAGCAUACAUAUUGUUUAUUGAAGUAGUGGAGUUGGUUAUUAUGCUAUGAUCUGGAUUGGCGUUUAGAAGAAAAACAAUCUUUGCCUCAGUUUCUUGAGCUGUUUGUUUCAAUUUUUCUAUUGAUGUAAAUAGGGCAAUAGCAUAUGUGGAUGUUAUCUUUUUAUUAUGCUAUAUGGUAGUGUUGUACUUAGCAAGCAAUCCAGGUUAUUAAUGGCUUUGAUUUGGUUUUGAAAAUCUUGGUUAUUAAAGUUGUGUUGGUAGUUAAUUUUGAGUAUUUACAUUCGUUGGAGUUAUGCAUCAAUAUGAGCUAAUGGAGUGUUCUUGAACUUGGUGGAUACAGUUUGAUAACUUGUAUGGAUGCCGCCACUCACUCCCUGAUGGGUUGAUGAGAGCCACUGAUGUGAUGAUUGCUGGAAAGGUUGGAGUUGUUUGCGGUUACGGAGAUGUUGGAAAGGGCUGUGCUGCUGCCUUGAAGCAAGCUGGUGCUCGUGUUAUCGUGACUGAGAUUGAUCCAAUUUGUGCUCUUCAGGCCCUCAUGGAAGGCUUCCAAGUUUUGACCCUGGAAGAUGUUGUCUCCGAAGCUGAUAUUUUUGUCACCACCACCGGCAACAAAGACAUCAUCAUGGUUAGCCACAUGAAGAAGAUGAAGAACAACGCUAUUGUUUGCAACAUUGGCCACUUUGACAAUGAAAUUGACAUGCUUGGUCUUGAGACAUACCCAGGUGUUAAGAGGAUCACAAUUAAGCCCCAAACAGACCGAUGGGUCUUCCCUGAAACAAAAUCAGGCAUCAUUGUCUUGGCUGAGGGUCGUCUCAUGAACUUGGGUUGUGCCACAGGGCACCCUAGCUUUGUGAUGUCCUGCUCUUUCACUAACCAAGUGAUUGCCCAGCUUGAGCUCUGGAAAGAGAAGAGUACCGGAAAGUACGAGAAGAAGGUCUAUGUCUUGCCCAAGCAUCUUGAUGAGAAGGUUGCUGCACUCCAUCUUGGUAAGCUUGGUGCUAAGCUCACUAAGCUCUCCAAGGAUCAGGCUGACUAUAUUAGCGUGCCCGUUGAGGGUCCUUACAAGCCUCCUCACUAUAGGUACUGAGGGAGAGAUGUCAACACUUUGCAACGAUCUUGUUUAACAGCAUGGAUUUUUUUCUGUUACAUUGCGGGUUUACAAUAGGAAUUUAGUUUUUUUUUUUUUCUGAUUUUUGGAGGUGUUGUUGGGAGUGUUGAAAUGAUCGGAAGAAAGAAAUAUGGUCUCUGACCAAGAAAUGUUGAAUAAGGGCAUUGUAUGGGGGUGUGGAAUGAUCAUAAUUUUAGCUGCUCCAGCUUAGGUCGAUUGCUUUUUUCUUCUUGUUUGCACGAGAAAACAAAAGAAAAAGAAUUUUGUUGGUUUCUCUAGUAAAAGUCUUUUACAUAAUGGCAUCAAUGUUUUACCAAGGCUGUUUGGGUUGGUGAAUGUUUUGAAUUGAUUUCUUUGGCAGCAGACGUAGGCAAGUGUUUACAAAGGCUGCAGAUCCUUUCGGCAUUCAUUCUGUAACAUGGAAUGCAUAUAAUGAUAGAAUUGAAUGGUGUGCUUUCAUUAUUAACGAGGAAAAUGGUUUUUUUUCGUAGCGGUAGAAUUUUUGUUUUUAUAAUCUUGUUUAAGUUAAUCUAGGAAGAAGGGUCGACGUGAAUAGAAAUUUUGCCGAAGAUGAUUAAUUUAGAUAGUUACAUAGUAAUAAAUUGAUGGGAGAUAAAAGUUGAAUUUGACUUCAAAGACUGGUGGUGACCACUGACCAGCCUUUAAGGACCGGUGGCCCGAUGGGGAAAAUGUCUAGUCGGCAAUAAAGUAGAGUACGAUACAUCAUGUUGUCUAGGAGUAAAUUAUUGAGUACAUCACGGGGUGACUUCCAGUUCCAGGCAAGAGAACAAAUUUUUGCAAUUGUCUUUUGCCUCGUAGUCGGUUUAUCACUGGCUGCUUCGUGGUGAAGGGAACAAAUUUUUCUGAGCUGCUCAACAUCAGAAAAAUCAGAUAUUUGAUUCAUGCCUCAGAUUUUAUCUAUCAUAUUCUUCAUACUUUUCCCUAGAAAACAAGUUCCAUUGAAAGCGUUAUAUGAAAUCAUUUUGAGAUGUUUUAAAAUUUUUGUAAAUUAUUUUUGAUCUUUCUAAAUAUUAUUUAUUUGAGUUGUUAAGGGCAAUUUAAAAACGAAAUUUAUUAACAUCAUUAUCAAAUCACUACUAUUUUAAUUUUAAAAAUUAGAAUUUCAACAUGUGAUAAACAAUUUUGGAAUGUAGGGGAUAUUUUAUAUGUAUCCCAUCACUCACCACUCACCCGUCACCACCUGCUUUUGAUUUGGAGUCCCACAGGACACGUGUUAGCUUGUGGCUGGCUAGCUGAAGCAUUUCACUUUUCCAGAUUUCUGCAAUUUCAUUUUUCUUGGUUUUAGUUUCCCUAAGUGGCGUCAAUUCCUUGUCUUAGGGUUUUAUUGAGACAAAAAUGACAUUUCUUUUAUUUUUCUUCUGAAUAAUAUAAAGAAAUUCCCGGCUAAUUUCACGUGUUCUUUCACGUGCUUCAUGAUUCUUUUUUUUUUUUUUUUGGGUAAGAAUAAGAUCAAUAAAAUAAAAUUCACAGCUUACAACAUCAGCCUGCAAUAACACUACUUUAAGACAUCAGCGGAUGGAUGGAUUGUAUAGUUUUGUUCUCAAAUAUAUUUAUGUUUAGGACAUCAGCGGUUUCAAUCCCUAAAAUUUGGAUGAAAGCAAAUGUAAUUUUAAUUAUUUUAAUUUUUAAUCACAUUUAGUCAUGUUUAAUAUGAUUUUUGUCAAUUGCAACCAGAAUUAGAUCACGUGCUAUCAUGUACCGGUAAUUAAUUUUAUGAAUAAAAUUUAAAUAAUGUUAAAAAAAUAUUGUUAGCCAUAAUUGAUAAUAAAAGAGGACUAAUUACUCACAUGUCGAUAUUGAGUAAUUUCUUUUUACCCCCAAUAAAAGACUAAUUACUCGCGUGAUUGGCAUGCGGGUAAUUAAUCCUCUUUUAUUACAUAUUAUGGCUAACAAUAUUUAUCUUUUUUUUAAAAAAAAAAAUUAGUUACUGGCAUGUGAUAGUAUAUGACUGAAUUCCGGUAACAAUUAGCAAAAAAAUCAAUGAAUGAGACUAAAUGUGUUUGAAAAUUGAAACAUUUGAAACUUCAUCUACUUUCGUCCAAGUUUCCAGGACUAAAACUGCUUGUACUCUAAACAUCCAUUUGGGACCAAAACUACAAUUUUGAAGUGAUAUAUUCCCCCCACCCCCCCCCCCCCCCCAAUCCUUGUCAAAGGAUCCGCGCUCAUGUUUGCCUCCCUGUAGAUAUGCCCGUAGAAAGUAUGGAAUAAAAAAACUCAUGGGUGCAAGAUCAUAAUGAGGUAACCAAUAAUGUAUUAUCAAUUAAGGAAAUUCAAUCCACGCAAUCAACUUCAACAUGCCGAUUUUCUGAACUUGCUGUAUCUUCACGUUUUCGUUUCGUUUCUGUCUUCUUCUUUUGGUUUGGUAGGCAUUGGUCGGCCACCUGCACCCAUGUACUAAUCAUUUGAUUGGUAAAUAUUAACAAUUGGCCGACAUCUUUUUCCAUAAACACACAUAUCAUGAGCUGUGAUGCUACUUAGUGUUGUAGGCGGAAUUUAUCUCUUGAUUUGGGUUGCAUUUAGUACAGACUUUAAGGUACUGAAUUAAGCUACUGCAUUUCUUGCUCCAUUUAACAAGUGAGUUUUUUGGAUGUUUGUCUGAAAUUUUACUGCAGUUUACUGUAAAAAUUUAUUGUAGAAAUUUUUUUUGAAGUGUGUAAAUUUUUGGAUGUUUUAAAGAAGUUUUUUGAGGUUAUUGUAGCUAAAGUUGUUAAAAAACUUGUAGCAGGUAAACUUGAUCAAAAACUUGUUUGCCGAACAAGGCCUCUCUGUUUUCAGAGGUUUUAAGGGUUCUCAGGUAGAAGGCAAAAGCACAAAUGAAAAGAGAGAAUCAUCAGUCACAAAAAACUGAGGUUCAGAAGUGUACUACUGCUUCUCAAGUUCGAAAAUGUUAAAGCUCUAAUGCAUCAGCACUUCAAUAUCACAGCCUGUAGAAGUGAAAAUUUCAGCACUUGAAUCUCCUCCGCUGCUUGCCUAUUUAUAGGCCUUGAUUGAGUGAAAAUUUCACCUAUGAUUGUACAAAUCACAGCCUGUAGGAGCAAAGUUUAUCAACGUGAAAGGACAAGCUAUGACUGAAUGCCCCAAACAGAGAUAACAACUGCCACCAGACAGUUAAAUAGUAAAACAAAGUUGCAGCACUAGUCAUGGACUUCUUUUGGAUAUCAUAAUUCAGCUAUUGAUAGAGUGCAAAAAUUUUGAAGAUGGAAGAAUGUUUUUGAAGUAGUGAUCUUGCAAACUGUAGCGAAGGAUAGGUGGAAAUACUACUACUGAAAAAUGAAAAGAAGGGACUCUCACUUUGGAGGAAAAAGUUUCAAAGUAACAAAGGUGAUGGGCUGAUUCACUGAAAACUUGUCAACAGCUCCAACCUCGUAGAUCAUCGACAUUGAUCUUAAGUUCUAAGCUAGCAAGCAAUAGGUUGUGUUCAUGGGAAAUUGUAUUACAGAUUCUAAAUCAAAAAGACCCACUCGCCAAAACGAAAAAAGAACGGAAGGAAACAAGAAGAACCAGCAAACAAGAGGUCAAAUAAAUUCAGAGAUGAGGAAUACCAACAAAUAUCCGACAAGCAACUUGCAGAAAACCUCUCUUUCCUAUUCUGUACUCAAAUGAACACAUUGCUAGGACUGCAGCAUCGCAUUCAGAAUCAGACAGUUUAACCCAGAACAAGCUUUUCAGUCAUUGAAUUGUGCAAAGGAAUAUAUGUGAAAGAUAAAUUCGAGUAGAGAACCAAAUUAAAAUGAGAGGAAGAUAGGAUAGUACUAGAGACAGAAUUCAGUAAUUCAGAAUACUGCUGAAGUGAUGAAGAAUGAACAAUGAGAUCAUGCAUUUCACAGAGUGAAUGCUAAGUCAUCAGAACAAUGAAUGUAUCUACUUCCAACUUGAAACAAAAGUAUAUUCUCAGUGAUAAAGAACUGAGAGUUUGGUUACUAGCAACAGUUAGUUAGCUAAGUCUACUACCAACCAACACACACAACCCCCCCCCCCCCCCCCCCCCCCCCCGGCCUAAAAAAUGUUCCAAAAAAGAAAAUUAUCGAAAACCUUGUUCAAAAUUAGCUACAUAAUAAACAAGGGAAGGAAACAGAGAUAGGAAUAGGAAGAAAGAAUAACAAACAAAAAUCAGCAUGAAUGAUUCCAGCAUUCUUACAAUUCUGAUGUCUGUAGGAUCCAAAAUAAACAGCUCUUCAGUAAAAGGGAUACUACUUGUUACAUAUAAUAGAGAACAACAAUCAGCAAGCUCCUGCCUCUUCUUUGCUCUCAAAGCAGUAAUAUUUUUCCUAUGUCAUCAAUUUGCUCUCCAUUCUUACUGAACUAGGCUGGAAAAUAAUGUGAAGAACAGCAAUAAUAAAACAAGGUACCAUAUCAAAAGAAGAAAAGUUCAUGCCAUGUCGAUAUGGAUAAUCCGGAAUUCUUUGGCAACCAUUUGCCAGAACUAUUGUAUUAAGAUAACACGUUCAUCCUUCGAGAGGCACAUUAAAGUUUCUGGAUGGUAUCUGGAUAUUGGAACUGAAAUUGGCAUUCAUCUUAUCGUUCUAAAAGAAGUUAAUCGGUUUAUCUGAAAGCGAAGAUUGAAGCACAACCAAGAAACAAAAAUAUAAUAUCCAGAUUUGGCCAGAAAAUUUAAUUCUCUGACUUAACAGCCAAACUGCUCAAGUAAAUGUAGAAAACAUAGAAGAGCAAGCAAAACUACCUACCUCUCGUUUAUGCUCUAUACUUUAUACCAUUAAGUUACUCAGAAUUUAUGAAUAAAGACCUGAUCUAAGCUAAACCCUUUUUGGGGAGUACAAUGAAGCAUUACUUAUUUGAGACAUCAUACAUAAAGGGAUUGUACUACUAUUACGCAUAUCUAACCUAAGACAUUCAUUCCAUGUUAAUUAAUCUUCCAGAAUAUUAACUCUGGGCAUAAGAGAACGAAACCCUCAAAUAAUAACUCUCAAUACAAGGAUAAACCCAAUAUAAUAGCCCCAAAGGCAUUUAGCCACCAUUUUAGGAGCCAAAACAAGCUCUGGAUCUCCUUAAAAUUCCAAGUGGAAUAUAACAUUAGGAUCAUUAUCUAGAGAUCAUAAAAUCAGAGUUAACCAGAACCCACCAACAUUUACUAGACAUGAAACUCAUAAAAUACCAAUUUCUUACUUUACCAAUUCAAUGGGCAUCCUCCAUUCUAGAGGUCUAAUACUAAUCUCCCCUAUCACACCUUGUGAUAAUUUCACAACCUCUGUUGUAAGUGUUAACUGGACCAGCACCCUUGCAAUUAUAGUAUGAAGAACCAGGCCUAUUACAUGGAGCAAAAUCCCUCCUCAAUGUAUCAUAACUUAUGAACCUCCUCCGCAUAAGCAGCAUUCUUCUGUGGCUCUCAGAAUCCAUCUCCUCCUCCUCUUCCUCCAGAGACACAGUUGGGCAAUCACUCAUCUUUCCAGCACAAGCCCUUUCCACCAUGGCAUCCAACUCACUAUUUUUCAUUGAAUUCAGGUCCAAAACUGACAUCCCACAACACAUUUUCACCAAGAAAAGCACUAGCAUUACCAAAAUGAGCGUAUUCAAGGGGUGCUGCUGAGUUUUGAGCAUUUUGUGGGUUGAAGUUUGUUUUAGAUUUUUUCUUCUUUCUUGUCAGUAGAAGAGAGGCCUAAGAAAAGUGAGAUUUCAAUUUCUAUAACAUGGCAGUCAGAGAUGAGUAAAGCAGACAUUAGCAUUUAGACAUUAAUGUUGGCAGUGGCCACAGUGAACAGUGUGUACCUACGUCAACUACUAAGUAUACGCAACUAUUGUUGAGUCAU
rnacentral:lncRNA from 1 species